AGCAAAUAAGUAGCAGGCGACCAUCGAGUUUAAGUGUUACAACUCAGAGAACCAAAUGUAUCAAGAGCAAGAGUUGUAAACACUAGGCAAAAUAUAAUGCAACCGCCCAUAUGAACCCGCUUGAAGACUAUCAACUCAUAGCUUCUCCCCCUUUUGUUAGUAAUGACCAAAAAGGGUUGAAGACAUUGAGCCUCUACUCGUUCCUAGAAGGAGUAGGAGAAGAUGCAGGGUUGGUGUCGAGGUGUGGCGGUGCAGACGAACUUGGAGCAGUGUAGAUGCGUGUUGGAGGUGGCGAAGUAGCAUCAUCUUGAUCAUCGAUCACACGAGCAUUCACAGUUGUAGCAGAAGAGGAGUACUCUGAGUCUUCAAGAGAUGGAGUGCGCUGCAGAACAACAUUUCUGGGCGGAGUGGAAUCAAACUUGAAUCGUUCUGAGAAGCCAUCGUCCUGAAGAUCUUCCUCAGCACACAUAAGCGUCAGCCCUUUCCAUGUGCGUCGACAGGUUUCAUGCGCGACAAAUGCAUUCUUGGUUGCAAGGUUGCGAAUGCGAUUGACGUCAGUCAUGAUGCUCUGCAUCUGGCGCUUGAGCCAAUCAUGAUGCCUAUCCUAUUUCUGAUGCAGGCCAACGAGAAGCUCUCGGUCAUUGAGAACACGAGAUCGCUUUUGAGGCCGUUGAGCAAUUGUGCUGUUAGUGGCUUCGGUUGGGGCACGGUGAGGUGCACGUCUAGUACCAGCCAACGGAUAGACUCGAGUGGCAGCCAGCACACCUUCAAUGGGCUGAGUGAAGCUCUAACGAUCAAUGUUAUGAAGAUAAAGUGGCUCCUUGUCAGGCUCUGGAUAGAUGGCUUCAACAGACAUAUCGACAUCUGGCAAGAAGACAAUGUGGUUGCGUGCAGAUGGCUGAUAGUUGAAAGCAGUGUGAAGCUUGAUCAGACGCAUGAUCCAUGGAGCAUAGAACUUCAAUCCAAAAAUGUCAGAUCCUGAUGCAGCAAGUUGGCGGAUGAAGAAAUCUUGUGCAUUGAAGCAUUUGCCAUGAAGAAUAUGGAAGACCAAUGUCUUCAUUGCACCUUCUAGCUUAGCCUUUGGAGAAUGUCCUUUGAUGGGCCAGAGAGUUCGCCUUAUGAUGUGAUAGAUUGUGCGUGGUAGAUACUCAAGGUCUUUAACAAAGAACUAUGUAGGAUAUUCUGCAUUUGGAGGCAAUGGCUUCAUCAUACUUAGCAUUUGGCUCAUGUUGGGUUCGGGCUUGUGAAAGAUGCUUUCCACAGCUGCAUUGUGAAGCUGACAACCAGGCUCAUAGAGAUCACCUGGAGUGGGAAGGCCAGUAAGCUCAAUGACAUCAAAUUCUUUGGCUUCGUGAUGGACAUUUUCAGUCAUCCACUCAAGGACCCAAGUCUUAGGAUCCCUAUUGUAGCCUCUAAUAUGAAGAGUGGCGUAGAAUUGAAGUAGCAAUUCUUCAUUCUAGUGCUCCUUAUCUGUGACAAAAUGUAGUAAGCCAGCCUCUCUGAAGCAAUCAAGAGCUUCUUCUAAGCAGGGCAGGCCAGCUAUGGCUUCAGUAUCAAGGCGCAUAUGCGGAAAUAUGCGGCCUUGGUUGUACAGAAUGCAUGAAUAAUAGCUACACUGCUGAUAACUCCAGAACUGAUCAGAUGAAAUCUUUGGCUUGGUGUAGGGGUUCUUUUCGCUAUCUAAGAAGGUGUUGUGUGCAAUGAAGCCGUUGACAUUGAAGGAUCCUGGUGAAGUGGCAGUACCUGGAAAUCUGGGCAGUCUUGGCUUUGGCUUCUGAACCUGAGGCCUGUGCUCGACAUGGUAAUCAAAUUGAGGACCAACAGCAGGUGGAGGAAUCAGAAUAGGCCAUCUGAUAGUGACAAGCUGUCCAUAGUUGUAUGCUUGCUUGAUAGUAUGGGGCCUUGGAGGUGGAACAGGAGCAGUGGCAUUGACUUCAGGCUGCAGAUUUGCGACAGGUGCGGCAUUGACUUCAUCUGCUUCAUGGGCUUCAUUGGCCACUAGUGCAUUGGCCACUAUAGGCUCCACAUUGGCGUCGGUCAUGGCAACGUCAUUGGCUUCAGGAAUGUCAUGUGUGACAGCCUCAGGGUUCUCACCCUCCACUUGAGUAGCUGGAGGUUCUGGCAUAGACUGGUUCUCUUCAUGAACUUCUUCUUGAGUUGCAGGGGGAGUAGCGACACACUCUUCUUCUUGUGUUGCUCCGGCUGAUGAAGCCGGAGGGUCUUCAGCAGCAUUGGCUUCAAACACAGGGACCGUCACAGAAGGAUUGUCUUCAGGGAACACUUGACGUAAGUUGGAGCCAUCUUCUGUGAUGGUGGUCAUGGAGACGGAUGGCCUCAAGCCUUUGCGAAGCCGAUGAAAUACAGGCGAUGCCUUUGGUAAUGGUGAAGUCUCCAUGUAGUUGUCAUCAUUGGACAUGGGGCUGAUGACGGGCACACUUGACGGUUGGGGUGUACUUGGUGAGUCUUGAUGUGGGGUAGCUUGCAGGGGGCGAUCAUCCCAUGAUGCAUCUUGUGAGAUUGGCGUCAAAGGGUGACCAAUGCUGAUAAGCUCACUGUUCGUUCGAAUAGGCGAUGAUACCAUUGGGCGCUCGAUCUGAGGAAGAACUGCAUCAUCUUGAACAAUAUCUUCAGUCGCGAUGGGGUCGAUGACUGGAACUUCUUGAGCUUCAGGAGCCUCUGUGGAAGCAGGUUCAUGAACAACCAUUUGACGCUCUUGGUUUGCAGACGGAGGAGGAACAAAGGCAAGGGGUUCAACAACAAGGGGCUCUGUGGGAGCAGCCCGAUCUCUUCUCUUGGUUUUUCUCUUCUUAGGGGGUGGUGCUUCAUCAGUGGUGCGCUUGGUUUUCCGCUUCCUGGCUUCGGCUUCAGCUGCCUUGGUUUUCUUCUGUUCAGAAGCCACUGAAGGAGCCUUGGGCUUCAAGCCGCGCAUGCUGGCAGGGAAGACAAUGUGUGGUUCUUCCUGCCGUGGUGCUUCAGUGUUGGCUUCAGAUGACUUCUUUUUCUUGGCAGCCAUUGAGGGGUCAAUGCCAGGGCGGCCAAGUGCUUUGCGCUUUUCAGCUUCAUUGUAGGCUUGAAUGCAUUUGUCAGCGAGUGCUUUCAUGCGCUCUCUUGAGCCUUUAGCUUCCUCGCGUUUCUUCCGAAACAACUCUUUGAGGUCAUUCAGCAUCACCUUGAACUUUUGCACAUCAACCACAUUCAGCCUGGCUACAUGCUUCUUGAACUGUUCCUUCUCGAAGUCUAUCUUUCGCUUCAGUUCAACUAUGCGCUGAGCCGGAGCAAGCUCAGGAGCAAUGGCGCCUUCGGAAGCAACGCCGACGCCAAUGGGAAGCUGAAGGUCAUCAAAGCUGAGAUCCUGAUUAUCAAACCACUCAUCAAUGAAGUUCUUCAGAAUGUUUACAUCAAAGAGGGGCAGAUUGUUGAAGAUCUCCGCCACUUGCUUGCUCUUGAUCAGCUGUUCUAGAGCAUCUUCACCAAAUUCUUCAUCUGAAGAAAAGUCAAUGGGUUUAGAUUCAUUCCUCAGAAUGGCAGCAGGCGUCAGUGCAUGACUCAGUUUCUAAACUGGUGUCUUCUAUGGCUUCUCACGCCUCUUGGAGAUGCGAGAGAGAUCUUCAGAGUUAUUGCUUGGAGCAGAAGGGGCAGUUGCCAAUGGCUUCACUCUUGAAGCUUUUGGGGCAGCAGAUGAUUUUGAAGCUUUAGUCUUCUUUUGCUUCUUAGGCUUUGGAGGAGGAGAUGGAGCUUCGUCGGUGUUAGCAUCAUCAUCAGAAUGAUCCACUUUGGCACCUUGAACAGUAAUGUGAGUGAUGAGGCCAGCAAGGUUGUAGAAGGGGCCAAUCCUGUUUUCAUUGGCUUCACGGGUGCCAUUGUCCCGAAGUGAGGAGGGACCAGGGUUGAAGUCAAGCCCUAGUUCCUUCUUGUUCUUUGUAGCUGAGUCUUUGGCGAACUGGUAGUUGCGCUUGAACAGACUGUCUUCAUGACACCAGAGCGGUGAAGACGGGUCAGCAUUCUCAGGAUGUGGUCUGCGCACCAUGCAUGGAUAGAAGCCUUGCUCAAUAGCUUCAGCCUGAUUCCUGGGUGGAAGAUUUCUGUACAGAAUAUCACUCCAGGGUGCCUUGAUGGCAUUCUUCUCUGCAUACUCUUUAGUGAUGAAGCGAUAUCUGAACCACUCUUCUGCCCAAUACCUUCGAAUCCAUUGGAUUCGAUUCUUGCGUUCAGUAUAGGUUUCUGCUGGAUCAGUUUUGUACAUCUCAUGCAAAUCAGGAGGUAAGUCCUUGGAAGUGUCACCACGACGCUAUCUGCCUCCCUUUCUUGCUGACUUUCCAGUUGCCAUGAAGUGUAAACUGAAAGGCUUCAGUACUUGCAAAGCCUUCAAACGGCUGGACUGACAGGAACUCGCUUCAAGUGAGUUAAUGUGACUCUGCAAGAAUUCUGCAAACGAAUGCAGACUAUGAGAACCAAGGGAUUCUCCCACGGACAUGUACCUGUGACAGCAUUAAAGGUGCAAGGGAAGGGGAAGAGGUCAUAUGCAUUCUCAGAAGAUUUUGAAGAUAAAUCAGUUUGAAGACAUUGACCUCAUAACGCGAAGACAUUCACUUAUAUGAUGAGAGUUGGUUCCAGAGUUGUACAAAUCCAAGAAUAAGUACAAGUGAGGAAUCUAACUUGUGAAGAAGCAUAAGUGAAUAUACUAGGAAGAAUAUGAGAUGCAGAAAGAGAUAGAUUCAUGUUCGAAGAUCUAGAAACUACUUUUGGUAGGAAGGGAUGAAUCUAUCGGAUCAAAAAGACGGUAAAAAGUAAACUUUUAUUACCACACGAAGAACUGCUAGACGAAGCGAAGAUGGAUGCCGAGCAGUUCGAUCUCCCGUGCCCUAACUUGGCAACAGAAGACACCUAUGGCGACGGAGGAGAAGACGAGGUCCGCGGCCGGCGUGAGGACGGCGUCGAGGAUGUCGCGGCAGCUUAGCGCUUCGUCGUCGGCAUCAUCGAGAGCUAGCGUAGGCACUAGGGUUUGCGAGAGAUGGAGAAGGAGGAAGAAGGAUUUUGACCAAGAUGAGACAGGCAUUUAUAAGGAUAGAGAUAGCACAGCGCAAUUACGCAGGUGCCCCUGGCGGUUCACAUUUGAUGGACACGUGGCGAACAUGCAACUCAUUGAAAGUUGUUCCACGUCCCCACGCACGCCUUGAUUGUCGGGGUGGUCGUUCCGAAUUCUCCGGGUUUCAGGCAAAAAGGAUAUGUCAUUAAAGCUGGAUAUAAAUGUGUGUCUCUGUAUCUUCUGCUGACAAGGACACAGAGAAGACAUUCGACAGUUUCAAUAGAAUGCAUAUGAUUUGGAUAGAUAGAGCUUGAGAUAGAAAGCAUAGAGAGGUUAGGGUCCGAUCACAUUCACUUAGUUCAAAAGAUUCAAACAAGAAGACAUAGCCAUAAGUGAAUGCUGUAGAGGACAGAAUACUAUAUAUAUAUAUAUAUAUAUAUAUAUAUAUAUAUAUAUAUAUAUAUAUAUAUAUAUAUAUAUAACAGAGUAAAUCCAAAUCAGUAAUCACGAAGUCAAAUUAAUGUUGAAGUUAAAUCAAUUGCGAAGACUUUGCAAAUAUGACGCCAUGAGGAAACACUUCAUAAGAGUUUGGUGGUGGUGUUACCCACCGUAUAGGAAGUAUUAGACCCAGACACGACGCACAAUUAUCGUGGCGCUCUGAAGUCAAUUUCCACAUUAAUGUAUUCACACUUAGAAUGUAUGUCUUCAUUGAUUGAAGAUAUACAUUACUUCGUGUGUUGCACAUCUAAGUCAUCAAACUGCAUAAGUGUUAGGAUGUGUGCCUAAUCACAUGACAUUCAAGGAUUCCAAGAUAUUUAGCUCACACCGCAACUUGCAAAACCUUUUCUCAUCCAAGGGCUUAGUGAAGAUAUCAGCCAACUGCUCUUCUGUCUUGACAUGAAUGAUAUCAAUAUCUUCUUUCAUAACAUGAUCUCUGAGAAAGUGAUGACGAAUUUCAAUGUGCUUUGUCUUCGAGUGAUGAACUGAGUUAUUGGCAAUCUUGAUAGCGCUUUCAUUAUCGCAAUAGAGUGGCACGUGCUUCAGAUGGAUGCCAUAGUCCUUAAGAGUGAUACACAGUUCUGCUUCUUUGAAGACCAAUAGACAAGAGAUCGACCCAGAAAGUGACAUGUGCCUGAUGUAGACUUGCGAUCCACCUUGUCACCAGCAUAAUCAGCAUCCGAAAAUCCAACCAGAUCAAACUCUGAGCCCUUUGGAUACCAUAAUCCUAGUGUUGGGGUGUAAGCCAAAUAUCGAAGAAUUCGCUUCACAGCUAAGUGAUGCGACUCCUUUGGUGCCGCUUGGAAUCGGGCACACAUGCAAACACUAAGCAUGAUAUCUGGCCUAGAUGCACAUAAGUAAAGUAAAGAGCCAAUCAUGGAGCGGUAUACCUUUUGAUCGAAAUCUUUACCAUUGGCGUCGGGGCUUAGAUGACUUUUGGUUGGCAUUGGCGUCGUGUAUCCUUUGCAGUCUUGCAUUCCAAACUUCUUCAGGCAAUCUUUGAAAUAUUUUUCUUGAGAUAUGAAGAUGCCGUUGCGUUGCUGACGGAUUUGAAGACCGAGAAAGAACUUCAGCUCUCCCAUCAUGGACAUUUGAUAUUGUUCUUGCAUCAUGUAACCAAAUUCAUCACUGUAUUUCUUGUUGGUGCAACCAAAGAUAAUGUCAUCCACAUAGAUUUGGCACGCAAACAGUUCACCGUCAUAUGUCUUCGUGAAGAGAGUGGGAUCUAGAGAACCAGGUUUGAAGCCUUUGCUCUUCAGGAAGUCUUUGAGUGUGUCAUACCAAGCACGAGGGGCUUGUUUGAGGCCAUACAGUGCCUUGUUGAGCUUGUAUAGCAUAUCAGGAUGUUUUGGGUCUUCAAAGCCAGGAGGUUGUGCAACAUACACUUCUUCUUCAAUCUUUCCAUUGAGAAAGGCACUCUUCACAUCCAUUUGAUAUAGAAUGAUGUUAUGAUGAUUUGCAUAGGCUAGCAGUAUGUGAAUGGCUUCAAGCCUAACCCUGGAGCAAAUGUUUCAUCGAAGUCAAUUCCUUCAACUUGUGUGUAUCCUUGAGCAACGAGCCGUGCUUUGUUUCUGACUACUUAACCAUGCUCGUCUUGUUUGUUGCGAUAUAUCCAUUUUGUGCCUAUUAUGUUGUGCUUGCAAGGAUCAGGAUGCUUAACAAGUUCCCAUACAUUGUUCAGGUCAAACUGUUGAAGCACUUCUUGCAUAGCUUGAAUCCAUUCGGGUUCCAUGAAGGCUUCAGUAACUUUCUUGGGUUCAGAGAUUGAGACAAAUAUAAAGUGCCCAUAGAAAUUUCCUAGUUGUGUUGCUCUUGAACGAGUGAGUGGGCCAGGUGCAUUGAUGCUAUCGAUUAUCUUCUCAAUUUGUACUUCAUUUGCAACACGAGGAUGAACAGGACGAAGAUUUUGCUCCUGCUGAUUAUUGUCAUCGUUUGGAGGAUUGUCUUCAGGCUGAGCAAUGUCUUCAGGUUGAUCAGGUGCAGAAAUAAUGAGUUCCUCUUCAAGCUGGGCAUCUGAUGGUAUGAUCUCUCCUGUUCCCGUUAGCUUGAUUGAUUCACUGGCAGGUACUUCAUCUAGCACAUUUGGCAGGUGCUCUCUUUGCGAGCCGUUAGUUUCAUCAAACCGCACAUCCACAGUUCCAACCACUUUAUAGUGAAAGAGGUUGAAGACUCUGUAGGAGUGCAAGUCCUUUCCAUAACCAAGCAUAAAACCCUCAUGUGCUUUCGGUGCAAAUUUUGAAGUGUGAUGUGGAUCCUUGAUCCAGCACCUAGCACCAAAUACUCUGAAGUAGCUUACGUUUGGCUUCUUACUAGUUAGGAGCUCAUAGGAUGUUUUCUUCAGAAGCUUGUGAAGAUAAACACGGUUGAUGACAUGGCAUGCAUUAUCAAUGGCUUCAGGCCAGGAUUUUCUUGGUGUCUUGUAUACGUCAAGCAUCGUCCGAGCUAUCUCAAUAAGAGUUCUGUUCUUGCGCUCCACGAUGCCAUUCUGCUGAGGUGUGUAAGGAGCAGAAAACUCAUGAGUGAUGCCUAAGGUGUCAAGAUAGAGGUCGAGGCCUGUGUUCUUGAAUUCUGUGCUGUUGUCACUCCUAAUGUGCUUGAUCUUGACACCAUAGUUGUUCAUGGCGCGGUUUGCGAAGCGUCUGAAGACAUCCUGCACUUCAGUCUUGAAGAGAAUUAUGUGCACCCAAGUGUAUCUUGAAUAAUCAUCAACAAUAACGAAACCGUAGAGACAAGCAGUUGCAGUGAGAGUAGAGUAGUGAGUGGGACCAAACAAGUCCAUGUGGAGCAACUCAAAAAGGUCGAGAUGUAGUCAUGAUUGUCUUCGAGGGAUGCUUGGCCCUUGUCAUCUUCCCAGCUUCACAAGCACCACAUAGAUGAUCUUUCUUGAACUUGACGUCUUCGAUGCCUAUGACGUGCUUCUUCUUGGCGAGAGUGUGUAGGUUCCUCAUGCCAGCAUGCCCUAGCCACUGAUGCCAGAGCCAGCACUCUGAAGACUUGGCUAGAAGACAUACGGCCAUCUGUGGUCCUGCUGAGAAGUCUACCAUGUACAGAUCAUCUUUCCUAUACCCUUCAAAGACUAGAGACUUGUCAGAUUCCAUUAGCACAAGGCAACAAUAUUUUCCAAACAACACAAUCAUGUUUAAGUCACAAAGCAUUGAGACAGACAUUAAGUUGAAACCAAGGGAUUCAACAAGCAUCACUUUGUCCAUGUGCUGAUCCCUUGAGAUUGCAACUCUACCUAGGCCCAAUACCUUGCUUUUACCAGUGUCAGCAAAUGUGAUGUGACUUUUAUCACAUGGACGUAAGGUUGAGUCCAUGAGAAGACUUCAAUCACCAGUCAUGUGGUUAGUGCAUCCGUUGUCCAUAAUCCAUUCUGAAGCACGAGGUGUCGUACCCUACAGUGCAGUUAGGAGGAUAGGCUUCACAAAGAGUGUUGUGAAGCAUAAACAUUUGACGCACAAGAGGAUCAUCAAAGCUUAGAUCAAGGUUAGGACUGAUAGUAUGACUGGCAAGCAAUUCAGAUACGAAAUACAUAGUAAGACCAUUUGGGCAUUUUAUCUUGCGUCCCAUAAUGAGUUUUAGGUCCCCAGCAAUAGCAUCGGACGCCUUUGAUUUCAGGCUGGAGACCUUUCCCUGCAAAAGAAGGUUAAUUCUUCUUAACCACCCACAUCUUCAGGGGUGGCUUAGAAGCAAUGGGUCUAAGUGCAGCAUCUAAGAAUUUCGGCUUUGAAGCCCUAGCAAAUAGCCUUGCAGGAGAAGAACGAUACUCAUAUGAAUAAGCAGAAAAUUCUUAGUUCUAUGAACAUAGCGGUUUGAAGAUACACGCUCAUAUUCAUAAGUCUGAGUAUGGUUUCCCUGCAAAACAUUGGCGUUAGGGUGACUCGGGUGAGUCCUGUAUCUGCAUGAAGCCUUUGGACCAUAUGAAGCCAUAGGUCUGGGGUUUGUCUUCUUCCUUGGUGGUGUCAUGAUGACAUUCACAGGAAGAUUCUCAAUACACUGCUUAGGUACCUAGAUCUUCAUCAUAGGUGGUCCAUUCCUGCAGUUAGUACCAAUAUACCUGGCAAACAGUUCACCAUUCUGAUUCUUAAAUAGUUUAUAGUUUGCAUCAAAGGAUUCAUCAAUGAUGAUAGGGUUAGCACAAGUGAAACCAGAUAAGGUGGAUGGAUCUACUGAAGGUUCCUUUGCAGCAACCCAUGUGGUUUUGGGGUACUACUCAGGCUUCCAGUAUGACCCAUCAACAUUCAUUUUCCUUUCGAACCCAAUACCCUCUUUUCUAGGGUUUCGGUUCAGAAUCUGCUUUUUGAGGCCAUCACAUAAUGUCUGAUGUCCUUUGAGGCUUUUGUACAUCCCUGUCUCAAUCAGUGUCUUCAACCUGGCAUUCUCAUCAGCAAGAGUAGUGGUAUUCUCAACAGAGGGGUUAGUUACCACAUCAACAGUUGAAGAUAUUGCAACAUGAGCAGUAGAACAUCCAUCAACAGAAGCAGUGUUAUCACGCUCAGUGCAUUUUAAACAUGGAGGAACAAAUUCUUCCUGUGUAACGCUGAUUUGUUGAGCAAGUAAUGAAUCGCGCUCCUUCCGAAGAUCUCCAUAAUCCACUCUUAGCUUUUCAAGAUCUUGCUUUCUUUGAAGACAUUCAGAAGAAAGCUUCUCGUGAUCAGACAAGAGAGUAUUAUGUUGAUCUUGAAGGGCGUCAAACUUGGAAUGAAGUCUCUGAAGACUCUCAGCCAAAGCUUUUGACUGGUCCAUUUCUUCACCCAACAUAUCAUCGCUCUUACUAAGCAUGUAUUGAACCCUUUUCCAAGGCUCUUUGUUGUUUAGUGGCAAGGGAAGCAAGUUUGACAUAGCUGGGGCCAAAUUCAUCACCUGAUUCAUCAUCACUAUAUUCAGAAGGAUAGCAUUCAGUUACCUUGGCAUCCUCUGCCAUGAGGCAUGGUGAAGAUGAUGACGAUUCAGGUGCAAAGGUCAUCUCUUUGAGAGAAUCCUUGUAAUCCUCAAACCAAGGAUCAUGACGAGUACGAUGACCUUCAUAGACCUCAGAAAGCCGGUCCCAGAUUAGCUUCGCAUGAUUGAGGUGCAUGACGUUCCUGAACUGAUUUCGAGACAGACAUGAGCAGAUGACAUCCUUAGUCGUGAGGUUCAGUAGAGUGUACUUGCGAAUGUCAUCAGACCAAUCUCAAUGACGGUCCACAGUUCGCUGUCCAUAGCCAUGAGUCGCUUCUUCAUCAUGGCCUUCCACCGAGGAUACUCAUGACCGUCAAAGGUGGGGCAAGAUACGUUCCUCAAUCCUGCAGUCGACAUAGCUGAAACUCCAGGUGGUUAAACCGAAUCACACAGAACAAGGGAGUACCUUGCUCUGAUACAAAUUGAAAGUGCUAGUUAUCGACUAGAGGGGGGUGAAUAGGCGAUUUUUAUGAAAGUCUUCAAAACAUGAAAGUUUCGAAGACGGACACGAAAACAUGACCUAUAAACAUGCAGCGGAAGAUAAACUACACUAGACAAGCCAUAGUCAGAUAAGUAUGAAACUAAAGCAUGAUGACUAAUAGUAGCUAGGUAGUAGGAUCAGGAUGGAAGAUAGUAUGAAGCCAAUCAGAACAAGUAGUCACACAGUGAAGUCAAACGGGCGUAGCAAUCAGGCAAUGACUUCACAAAGACGAACAGUAAGUAAGGAGAGUAAGAGAUAGAACCAGUGCGUUGUGAAGACAAGGAUUUGUUCGACCAGUUCCAGUUGCUGUGACAACUGUACGUCUGGUUAGGGAGGCUGAGAUUGAACUCAGAAGACCGUGUCUUCACCUUAUUCCCCUUGAGCUAAGGACACACAGUCCUCGCCCAAUCAUUUUGGUAAGUCUUCAAGGUAGACUUCCAAACCUUCGCAGACUUCAUUCACCGGCGAUCCACAAUUACUCUUGGAUGCUCAGGACGCGACGCCUAAUCGGCUGGAGGAUUCACAGUCCUCAAGUGUAACAAGUCUUCAGGUCACGUGGACAGAAAGACUUCAGUGAUGCCAAACACUCUUGGGCUCUGGGUGUUUUGGGCUUUGUCCUCACAAGGAUUUCUCUCUCAAACUCUUCGGAGGUGGGUUGCUCUCAACGACAAAAGCCGUGCACUAACUCUGAGCAGCCACCAAUUUAUGGUGUGGGGGUGGGCUAUUUAUAGCCACUAGGCAAUCCGACCUGAUUUGUUCGAAAUGACCCUGGGUCACUAAGGAACUGACACAUGUCACAACGGUCAGAUUUCAAACACACGCGACAGCUUGACUUGGGCUACAAGUAAAGCUGACUUAUCCGACUCUGGAUAAGAUUUGCUCUCAUUGUCUUUGCUCGAAGACAUAUGAUUUUGGUUGAGCAUCACUUCAGUCACUCUGACUUUGUUCACUUAUACCCCACUUAACAGUGCGGUGGUUCCUAUGACUCAACAAAGAAGAAAAGAAACAACGAAACUACUAAGUCUUCGUGCUCCAUAGUCUUCACUCAAUGUCUUCGUCUGUCAUAGUCUUCAAUGUGAAUAUCUUCACGUACCACCAUUAUCUUCAAUGUCUUCAUACAUUUUUAGGGGUCAUCUCCGGUAGGUAAACCGAAUCAAAGAGGGACUACUACCUGUGUUAUCCUACAAUUCUCACAAACACAUUAGUCCCUCAACCACGUUUAUCGUCAAUACUCCAAAACCAAACUAGGGGUGGCACUAGAUGCACUUACAGAACCCAAAGCAGAGAAGUGCGUCUUCAUAGGAUACCUGAAAGAAACUAUUGGGUAUACCUUCUACCACAUAACCGAAGGCAAAAUCUUUGUUUCUAAGAAUGGAUCCUUUCUAGAGAAGGAGUUUCUCUCAAAAGAAGUGAGUGGGAGGAAAGUAGAACUUGAUGAGGUAGUUGUACUUUCUCUCAAAUUGGAAAGUAGUACAUCAGAGAAAGUCAUUCUCGUCAUGCCCACACCAACCAGAGAGGAAGCAAAUGAUGAUGAUCAUGAAACUUUUGAUCAAGUUACUACUGAACCUUGUAGGUCGACCAGGACACGUUCCGCACCAGAGUGUUAAGACAAUCAUGUCCUGGAAGCCAUGUUGUUGGACAACAAUGAACCUACGAACUAUGAAGAAGCUAUGACGAGCACAGAUUCCGAAAAAUGGCUUGAGGCCAUGAAAUCUGAGAUAGCAUCCAUGUAUGAGAACAAAGUGUGGACUUUGGUGGAUUUGCCCGAUGAUCGGUAAGCCAUAAAUAAUAAAUGGAUCUUUAAGAGGAAGACGAACCCUGACGGUAAUAUCACUAGCUACAAAGCUCGACUUGUUGCAAAAGGUUUUUGACAAGUUCAAGGGCUUGACUACAAUGAGACUUUCUCACCCAUAGCGAUGCUUAAGUCUGUCCGAAUCAUGUUAGCAAUUGCCAUAUUUUCUGAUUAUGAAAUCUGGCAAAUGGAUGUCAAAAACUUGCAUUCCUUAAUGGGUUUCUUGAGGAAGAGUUGUAUAUGAUGCAACCGGAAGUUUUCGUCGAUCCUAAAGGUGCUAACAAAGUAUGCAAGCUCCAGCGAUCCAUCUAUGGACUGGUGCAAGCAUCUAAGAGUUGGAAUAUACGCUUUCAUGUGAUCAAAGCGUAUGGUUUUAUACAGACUUAUGGUGAAGUCUGUAUUUAUAAGAAAGUGAGUGGGAGCUCUGUAGCAUUUUUGAUAUUAUAUGUGGAUGGCAUCUUGCUGAUUGGAAAUGAUAUCUAGCAUAAAAGGUUACUUGAAUAAGAAUUUUUCAAUGAAAGACCUCGGAAGCUACUUACAUAUUGGGCAUCAAAAUCUAUAGAGAUAGAGCAAGACACUUAAUAGGACUUUCACAAAGCAUAUACUUUGACAAAGUUUUGAAGGAGUUCAAAAUGGAUCAGUCAAAGGAAGGGUUCUCGCUUGUAUUCAAGGUGUGAAGUUGAGUAAAACUCAAAGCCCGACCACAACAGAAGAUAGAGAGAGAAUGAAAGUCAUUCACUAUGCCUCAGCCAAAGGUUUUAGAAAGUAUGUCAUGCUGUGUACCAAACCUGUUGUGUGCCUUUCCAUGAGUCUCGCAAGGGGUACAAUAGUGAUCCAGGAGUGGAUCACUGGACAACAGUCAAAAUUAUCCUUAGGUACCUAAAGAGGACUAAGGAAAUGUUUCUCGGAUAUGGAGCUGAUACAGAGUUUGCCGUAAAGGGUUACAUUGAUGAAAGCUUUGACACUGAUUCGGAUGACUCUGACUCUCAAUUUGGAUAUGUAUUGAACGUGGGAGAAAUUAGCUAGAGUAGCUCUAUGUAGAGCAUUGUAGACAUAGAUAUUUGUGAAGUACACACGGAUCUGAAUGUUGCAGACCCGUUGACUAAAAACCUCUCUCACAAGCAAAACAUGAUCACAGCUUAGUACUCUUUGGGUGUUAAUCACAUGGCGAUGUGAACUAGAUUAUUGACUCUAGUGAACUCUUUGGGUGUUAAUCACAUGGCGAUGUUAACUAGAUUAUUGACUCUAGUGCAAGUGGGAGACUGAUGGAAAUAUACCCUAGAGGCAAUAAUAAAAUGGUUAUUAUUAUAUUUCCUUAAUCAUGAUAAACGUUUAUUAUUCAUGCUAGAAUUGUAUUGACCUGAAACUUAAAUACAUGUUUGGAUACAUAAACAAAUAUUGUGUCCCUAGUGAGCCUCUACUAGACUAGCUCAUUGAUCAAACAUGGUUAAGGUUUCCUAACCAUAGACAUGAGUUGUCAUUUGAUAACGGGAUCACAUCAUUAGGAGAAUGAUGUGAUGGAAAAGACCCAACCGUUAGCAUAGCAUAUGAUCGUUCAGUUUAUUCUACUGCUUUCUUUAUGUCAAAUACAUGUUACUUCGACCAUGAGAUCAUGCAACUCCCGGAUACCGGAGGAAUACCUUGUGUGCUAUCAAACAUCACAACGUAACUGGGUGAUCAUAAAGAUGCUCUACAGGUAUCUCCGAAGGUGUCUGUUGAGUUGGUGUGAAUCAAGAUUGAGAUUUGUCACUCUGUGUAUCGGAGAGGUAUCUCUGGGCCCUCUCAGUAAUACACAUCACAAGAAGCUUGCAAGCAAAGUGACUAAGGAGUUAGUUGCAAGAUAUGUAUUACGGAACAAGUAAAGAGACUUGCUGGUAACGAGAUUUAACUAGGUAUAGACAUACCAACGAUCGAAUCUCGGGCAAGUAACAUACCGACAAACAAAUGGAAUUACGUAUGUUGUCAUAAGGUUCAACCGAUAAAAGAUCUUCGUGGAAUAUGUAGGAAGCAAUAUGGGCAUUAGGUCCCGCUAUUGGUUAUUGACCGGAGAGGUGUCUCGAUCAUGACUACAUAAUUCUCGAACCCGUAGGGUCCCACGCUUAACGUUGUUGACACUAGAGUAGUAUUGGGAUAUUUGAUGAGUGGUAACCAAAUGUUGUUCAGAGUCCCGGAUGAGAUCCUAGACAUCAUGAGGAGUUUAGGAAUGGUUGACAGGUAAAGAUUUAUGGGAUAAUUGGUUUUAUGCCCCUAGUUGUGUCCCACUCGAUAGGAUUGCCCCUAAUUUCCAAAAGCCAGCAUUUCUGUCCAACCCACUUUGGUCGUCUUGUUCUUUUUCCCUUUGACCGUCACUUUAAAAACUUCAUAACUAAUUCAUACUAAAUCAGGAAAAUGCAAAUAAGAUACCAAAAAUAUUCGGAAAAACAUCACUUGUAUGUCAAUGUCACUUGCAUUCAUGAAAAAAGUGUUGGUAAGUGCCCGUCCGAGUUUUAGCUCUUAUCACACCACCAUGAACAAUAAAAUCUAAAAAAAUCAAAAAAAUUCAAAAAUAAAUUUGGUGGCAAAGAAUGACAAAUGUUUUAAGUGCUUGCCAAGUUUCAUAAGGGAAUGACAUUCGUGGAAGUCAUGGCAAAAAAACAAUCUAUUUUGGAGUAUUGAUUGUAUUUUUUGCCAUGACUUCCACAAAUGUCAUUCCCUGAUGAAACUUGGCAAGCACUUAAAACAUUUGCCAUUCUUUGACACCAAUUUUUUUCGAUUUUUUUGAACUUUUUAAGAUUUUACUCUUCAUGGUGUGUGAUAAGAGCUAAAACUCGGAUGGGCACUUACCAACACUUUUGUAAUGAAUGCAAGUGACAUUGACAUACAUGUGAUGUUUUUCUGAACGUUUUGGUAUCUUAUUUGAAUUUUUUCUGAUUUGGUAUGAAUUAGUUAUGAAGUUUUCAAAGUGACAGUCAAACGGUCAAAGGGCAAAAGCACAAGACGACCAAAGUGGGUUGGAUAGAACCACUAGCUUUUGGAAAUUAGGGGCAAUCCUAUCAAGUGGGACACAACUAGGGGCAUAAAACCAACUAUCCCAAGAUUUAUAUAUGGGAAGUCAUAUUUUGGGUUCCAGAAAAAGGUGCAGUUUUUUCGGUAUUAUACCGGGAAGCUUCCAGAAGGUUCUGGAGGAUUCCGGAGGGGUCCGGAAGUCCACAAGUGAGUUUACCACGACCCAAGGGCUAGCAUGGGCUGCAGGGAGGCACCCUGGCCUUAUUGUCUAGACGCACCAAGUCCUCAAAAGCCCAUGUGGCUAGGGAAGGCAAAAAAGGAAGGAGUCCUAGUAGGAAUAGGAUUGGACUUGGAGUCCAAGUCCUCUCCUUUUUAGCUGCGUCCUAGGGCUUGGAGGGGCUGUUUCCCACGCCCCUCCACCUAUAUAUAGAGGGGAGGGGGAGCCCCAAGAGGAAACACCAAGCCCUUGGCGCCCCUCUCUCUCCCGUUACUCCGUAGUUCCACCGCCUCGUCCCGGCGACGCUUAGCAAAGCGCUGUCGGUGCUCCAUCACCACCACACCAUCGUGUUGGUUGUGAUCCCAUCUACUUCUCCUAUCCCUCUUGCUGGAUCAAUAAGGAGGAGACGUCAUCGAGCCGCACAUGUGCUAAACUCGGAGGUGCCAUCCGUUCUGCACUAGAUCGGUUGGAUCGUGAGCGAAUUGUGAAGAGUACGACUACAUCAACCGCGUGAUAAACGAUUCCGCUUAGUGAUGUACAAGGGUAUGUAGAUGCUCUUCCCCUCUCAUAGCUAUGUAUCUCCAUGGAUAGAUCUUGCGUGUGCGUAGAAAUUUUCUUGUUUUCCAUUCAAAGUACCCCAACAUUUUGGACCAUUCGAAUAAGACCCGGACUAGAAUCCAGCUUGUAAUAGAAAAGAGAACAGUUGUAGUUCUACUAGGACUCUAGAUGUAAGCUGGCCUCUUCAACUUAUAUAAGGAUGGCAAGGCACCCCAAGAGGGAGGAGUGAAGACAAAUAUACAAGUUUUAGACAAGAUCAAAGUAGAAGCUCUUGAGAUAGAGGUAGCGAAAGAGCACCAUUGUAAUCGAGAUGAUCAUCAUCAUCAUCAUCAUCAAUACCAAUCAAGCAGGAUGUAGCCUUUUACCUCCAUCGUGAGGGACCAAAUCUGGGUAAAAUAUGCGUUUCUCGAUUCUGACCAACCCUGUUCAAGCUACCACCUAGUUGCAAUAGCCUCAUAACUUAGUCCUUUCACGGGGACAUUUGCCGUGACAAAACCACUACAAUGGAGGUAAAAAAACAUGGAAUUUAAUAUGAUUUUUCCAAGUCGGGAGGAGUCCAGAAAGUGUCGGGACCUGCCGGUGGGCCAGCCAGGGGCCCUACGUGGCCAGGUGGCCACCUGCGUGGCGGAGCGGCGUGAGCCCCCUAUGCAUCGCCUCACACCCAUUCAUUCAUCUAUAAAUUUCAUAUUUUGUGAACCUCGCUAGCAAUUUUCUCUGAUUUUUUUGCCACCGCAAGUUCCUGUUAUGAGGUGAUCCAAUUUGGAGGCCUGUUCCAGACCCUAUGUGAGGGGGGAUCCACCACGGGAGGUUUCUUCAUUAACCUUGCUGCCUCCAUGACCAUGUGUUAGUGGUUCCUUUAUGACCUUAGGGUCCAUAGCAGUAGCUAGACGACAUCCUCUCCCCAUUGUGAUUCAAUACAAAGUUCCUAUGAGCUACCUCACAUGAUCGGUGUCCAUAUGAUGUAUCGGUGGUGUGUUUGUUGGAAUGUGAUGGAUUGUCACUUUAUGAUCAGGCUGUUCAUGGAGAUAUAUUGAAUCUUUAGAAGUUUCUUUGCUAUAUAAUUAAGUAGCUUUGUAUGCUCUCUGAUCUACUUGUCUACUUUGGCCAAGUUUGUGGGUAGUUCUUCAGUGAGAGUGGUGCAGAGUAGUGGGUUUAAUCUAGCGGUGCAUCAUCCCGGUGAUGAAAAGGGAACAGACACGUAUUGUAUUGUUGUCAUUACCCAUUGAGGGUAAACACAAUGGUUUCUUUAUCACACUUACUGUUGUCAUCAUACUUAGUGCAAUGCUCUGUUUGUCAUAAAUUAAAUACUUCAAGAUGCAUACUGGAUAGCGGUCUUUGGUGGAGUAUUAGUUCUAGGUGCAGUUGGAUAAUGGUUUACAUAUCACGGAGUAAUGCCUAUAUGAAAUUAUACCAUUAAAGGUCAUAGUUAGAAAUAUAAAUAUUAUAAUUUAAUCAUUGUCCAACUGUAAUUUGUUUACCACACUACACUUCUGCUUGGAGAUGCCACUAGUGAACCUAUGGCCCCCGGGGACUAUUUUACUUUACUGAAAACCUCUACAAGAUACUAUUCUUUGCUCUACCAUUUCAUUUGUUUUACCUAUCUAUCAGUCUCUACCAUACUAUGCAAUUUAAUCUUGUAACUAGCAUGAUAAGAAGGUUGACCACCGACUAGUUUCUAUUUGUGUUUUUUGUGCACGUACCCAUGACUUUGUUUGCUGGUAGAACUCCUUUUAAUUCGAUAAACCUUGUUUCUCUACUAAGGCAAAUACGUGUUGCUAGUCUACUUCACCCUUAUACAUGGGGAAACCCAACCACUCCUACGAGAGAGCAAGCACGCCGCUUGCCUGCUCAUCAAUAAAGAAGCUUCCCAAAACAGAGAGUUCGAAGGGGAGAGGGGGGGGGCGCGAGUUACGGGCGGUGAGCCGAGAGAGGUAAAUAGGCGAGGCAAUCGGCGGGAGGUGACCAAAAUACCCUAUCGUUUUUGCGCGAACGUGCGCGAGCUCAUGCCAUCUCCUUGCUCGCACGAAGUUGGCGCCGCAGUCCCCAUCCCUGGACACGACAAGACUGACUCUGACGAAACAACUGAAUCAAGCGUUCCUCCAAGGCCAGGCCAAUGGGAGUCCCUAUAUGCCGCAUUCUAUGACGGCCAGCAGCAUGCCGCACACGGGCGCUCGGCUAGGCCGCCGACCUAUUCGAACAGGAUCGAACUACCACUCUAGAAUUAUUACUUUAGUGUGCCAUGCAGGUAUUCUAUACCACGUAAUGUUUCAUAUACUCUCACACAUACCGCAACAAAUACCAUUUACUAUAACAUUUAAAAUUUUGAUUUAUUUGAACACAUUUUAGAAAACAAGAAUAAUUUCAAAAAAUGUGAACAAAAUUUGAAAUUCCAAUCAGUCUUUGAAAAAGAAGGAAAACAAAUGAAACUCUGAACAAUUUCUGUAAAUUGUGGGGUUUUUUUAAUACAAUUUUUUUGCAAACAUUUUUUUGAAAUAUUUGAAAUUAUGAACAUUUGUAAAAAAACUAAAUGUUAAGCGUGUUAUAAAAGUGUGAUUUUUAUUUCAAAAUUUCGAAUAAUUUUUGAUUUUUUCAAACAAAUUUGAAGAUUUGAUUUUUAAAAAUGAACACAUUUUAAAUUACAAAAAUUUCUAAAACAUGAUUUUUUUUAAAAUUCCUAUCAUUCAAAAAAAUAUUUGAACAAUUUUUUUAAUGUACAAUUUUUAAAAUUCUGAACAUUUUUAGAGUGUGAACAAGAAUUUGAAAUUGCAGGUAUUCUUGAAAAGGUGAACAACUUUUGUAAUUGUUGAACAUUUUAACAGCGUUUUGAUCAUUUGUUGAAAAUUGGUAAUUUUUGAAAUAGAAAAAAGAGUAAAAUAAAGCAAAACAAAAAGGGAAAAGAAACAGGGAAACCUGAAAAUAAAAAAGAAAAUAAACUUUAAAAACAAGUUUAAGAAAAUAAAUAACAGUUUAUGAAUCUUUAGAAGGUUCCCAGAACGAUAACAAAAAAUCUAUGCGUAUUGCUAAAAUGGCCCAGCACACUUGCUCAAUAGGUCGACCGUGCGUGUGUGAAUCGGCGACACCUUGACGCAAAUGGCAUCAGAUAGGAUUUUCUCAGUCCAAACACUCCUUUGACGAUUGUGCGGGGUCAGGUUAUGCAAUAGAUCUAUGUAAUAACCAAAUGGACAAGAUUUGGUCUCCCAAAGCCUAAAUGAGUAUCAUAUGGCAAGCAAACAAGCCCUAAACAAAGCCGACCAAUAAAAAUGGGAGUAACUAGCAGACAGGUACCCCUUGGGCCUUGGGGCAACCACAACUGUCACUUUUCUGGCUCAGGAGCACGCCAAGUGAUGCGCGAUGCAACCACGUGUCAUGCUAUGUGCGAGAUUUUUUUUCUUUUUUGCACGCGUUUUUGAGUUUUAUUGGGGGGGGGUGGGGUUUCUUUUUGACUAUUUUUCCUUAGUUUGUUAUUUGGACGCGCAAUUCAUGAGAUAAACCUUUUUGAAUCUACGAAAAAAGAGAAAACUCUCGGGUUGGACAAGUGACGCGUAUAUAGUUCGUCAUUUGUCAGCAUCAGAAAAGAUGAAUAAUAACCUUCGCAUGGGUUUCUUGUUGUUGGAAAAAAAAACAGCAGCCCACGCUCGGGACACGGACUCCUGUUGGACACGCCGGUGAAGAAACGCGUGGCGUACCGCGCGGAAGCAACGAGCUGGCACGUUCACGGCUUCACGCGUCUCUCCCAAACUUGCUACGCUUUUCUUGCCGCGCGCGGCGAAGCAUUCACACUCCAUGCUGACCCGUGCUCCUACGUAGGCAUCGUUACGCGUUGAACUGCCCGGCGGUAGCAGGCAGGCGGGCAGCUGGGACACGGACCCGCAGGGAAAGGGUCGCAAGUCAGCGGUCAAAACUAUGCGCCUCUCGCGCUCUUCCUUCCCUUGAUCCAAGAUCAUCUUGAGAUCUCCCAGCUUACCUUUUCUUUUCUAUACUAGGGCUACACUACACUGUACUAUAGUACUCCUACUAAUUCCUGUGAGAUGAUAAAGUGUGACAGAUCACUGAUGAACCAAACAUCUCAACGCAUUAUUAUGUUUAUAUUAUAUUGAAAUACUAUGUCAAAUGCAAUUUCCCAUCAAGAAAAAGCUAUUGAAGCAUGCAGCACGGCAGUGUGCUGGAAAACAAUUCGCACGUACAGUAUAUAUGUGUACAUCACAUUACAAGCUGGAGUAUAUCAGCAAUAUGUUACAUUAAUUUACACUAGCAUACCUGAGAGAAAAUCAUUGUGGAGGCACACUAGACCUAGCUACAAAGAACAAAUGAAACAAUCUAGUAUACGACUGGUCAACCAGUCGGUUUCUCGGAACCUAAACGAGCUAGCACAAGAGAAGAAGAACAAAAAGAUCGAUCGGCAUCAGAGAAGAGCAGCGCAGAGGAGCAGGCGGCUGGAUCGUCAGCUCUUGAUGUCGUUGGUUCGUUUGCUGGGGCCCGACGGCGGCGCUCGCGACCCGGGUUUCAUGCCGAGCAGCGCCUCGACCCGCUUCCCGACCGGCACGACCUCCUCCGCGUCCCUCGACAAGGCCGCGGCGGGGAGAGCGAUCGUCCGCACGGCCGCCGCGGGCCCAGCACCAGCACCGCCGGCGGCUGGUUGCCGCAGGGGCCUGGUGGCGCCGGAGCGCCGCGUGAAGACGGUCAGGAGGAGAAGCACGAGGAGGCAGAGGAAACGUGGAGCGCGGCUGUUGUUGUUGAGCGUCAUCGCGUGCGCCAUUGAUCUUGUGCAGCGAGAAGGGGAGGACUUGUUUUGAUUCGGAGGUUGUUUGUGUGGAUGACGACGGGAAUGGUGCGACCGACGGAGCACGGAGAGGGGUUGAUAUAGAGAGAGGCAGAGCCGUGGACGCGGUGGGAGGAGACAAACUUGGAGGGCAAGUCAAAUAGGGAGGAAUGUGUGUGCGCGCGCGACGAGGAGGGCGGGAUGGGAUGUCGUGUGCUUUUGGUCAACCAAAUCGAGAUCGAAGCUGCUUCAAAACUCUCGAGCAAUUGCAUGGCUACUAGUUUAGCCUUUCCUUCGUUCGGACGGAAGAUGCGUCCGAGUUAUGAUUAGCUGAAACAAGUAGGAAAAGGAGACGGUGCAGGCGUGUGAGGAAAGAUAGAUGGUAGUGUAUGACUUUGGUUAAGUUAUUUAUUAGUGACGCCGCGUGUGUGCGUGCAUUGAAGUUGGCGCGUCAUGCACCGCGCCACCCACGACAAGGACGCGUAUUGGCUGGCUUGCUUGCCUGCCUGUCUGAAUAUCCAUCUGGAGGCAGCUCACUAGCCUAGCCGCAGGUCCAAAUGGAGAUGAAAGUUCAAAACUUUAACUGUAGGCACACAGCCAAAAGCCAAGAGGUUCAUCAGAAAGAGCCAUACCACUGAGACUGAAGGCACAGACGUGCAUGUGUGUGUAUCUUCUGACUGUCCCUCCUGUGGAUUCCAGGUGACACUGCACACUCUUUUAGUACUAGCUAGCUCUACCCAUUUAGCUAGGUUGAUGAUGAAGAUAUUGUGCAUCGUACGUCUAGAAAUUUAGACCGUGUUGAGUGGGGAGGGGCCGAGCAAGACGGUGGAUGUGUGUGUGUGGAGUCAACUGCGGGUAGCUGGCACCUAAAGUACUAUGUGAAUGCUUCCGGUUCCGGUCAAAGCUGACUAACUUCUGCGUGGAAAGAGAGAGCCUGCAAGUUUGCCUACCUAGUUGUAUAUUUAAAAAGGGCGCUGAUAGGCACCGGUGCGCCGGCCGAAAGUUUCGGCCGGUCUAGCCCAGGCCGUUGGAUGCGAGCCGUGCGGGUCGUUGGAUCCAGGUAAAAAAAAAACGAAUCGUCCCCGGCUUCUUCUUCCUCGAGCACUCGGGCUGGAUCCGCAUGCCUCGUUCAAGGAGCGCGGUGCCGCGCCUCUUGUCCCCUCCGGUGGCCGUCCUCGUCGCCGGCCCCCGUCGGUCUUCCUCAUCACCGAUCCCCAUCCCUUUCCAACCCCCUCGUCGCCGGUCCCCAUCCUCGCCGGUCGUCCUCGUCGUCCCCUAGACCCAUGCAACAGCCACACCUGCGGUUGCAGCUCUCGACGGCGCCGGUUGUUGCUCCCGGUUGUAGCUCCGUCACCGCCGCUCGCCGUUGAUGCUCGCUGCAAGGAAUUGCGUCGGCGACAGCUGCCAGUCAAUCAACGCCGUUUGAAUGGAUGUAGCAAAAACUUCACUGGUAGUAGCAAAAUUAAACUACGGUUGCAGCAAAAAUCUUCUCGCCGUCGUCGCGAGGUUGCAGCUCCGCCUAGAUGGACGUAGCAAAACCUUCGGCGGUAGUAGCAAAAUCCUACUAUGGUUGCAGCAAAAUCGUCAUCGCCGUCACGAGGUCGCAGCUCCCGCCUUGAUGGAUGUAGCAAAAAACUUUGCUAGUGGUAGCAAAAAUCAACUACGGUUGAAUCUUUAUUAUCUACGGUUGAAGCUUUUUGCGACACCUUGAAGCUUUUCCCUGUUGGCAGUAGCCAGCCCCUAGCAUCGGUGUUCAAUGUUUGAAGCUUUUUCCAACGCCGGUUGAAGCUUUAUGCGAUACCGGAUGUAGCCUUUUGUUGUGGCAAUGGUUGGUUCCAGCAUCUGUCGCCACUGGCUGAAGCUUUUUGCUGCAUCGGUUGUAGCUUUCCAGAAUGCCGGUCACAACAUCAAGGGUGUCCCCAUUGUGCUCUCAGCUCGACGUCCACCUCGAGCUCGUGUGCCAUGGCCGCCCUGCCUGUGAGCUCGCAGGUGAUGCCUCCCCUGUCGUAGUAGCGCCGGUGCUUGGCCCCCGACGAGCGCGGCCAUGGCUUACGAGAUGCAGUUGAGAGAGGGGAGGACACUAGCUCGGGGGCGGAGGAGGGGGGUGGGGGUCAGCUUCGGGGGUGCUCGCCGGAGAAGAAAGGGGGGCUCGCUGGAGGAGAUCGCAGGUUUGGACUUCCAUGGUAGCCGGGGAGAUGGGAAAAAAGUAUUAGGAAAGGGAAGGAGAAGGACGUGGGGAUGGGGGGAAGGAUAACGUGGUGGGCCUAGCGCUGCGUGUGUGGACGAGACCGGCCGAAGCGUUCGGCUGGUGCGCCGUCUCCAUACGAUUCCCAUUUAAAAACUGAUUUUCCACUUAACUAUCAGUCCAGGCAUAGACCUAGCCGAGAUAUGCACGCUAGUACUCCCUCCGUCCCAACAAAGUCAACACUUAUACCUGUGUCACAACAGAUUUCCAAAGCAUGCACCGGAAGAGCAUGUAAACUAAUGUUGGGUUCAAUUAACCACAAGUGCUGGCGCUCUACCAUCGCCCUCUCGUGGUCUUUGUGGCUUCAGCGCAAUGACUGCGUCUUCAGGAAAAAUCCUGCCCUGCUGCGAGUAUUCAUUUAUUUUGAAAAGAGAGUCCCUCUCCGAUUUUCACCAACAAAAAAUAACAGUGCCUUACAUACCUACUAUUCUGUUUUUUGUUGAUAGCCACAUCCCCUAGCGAAAAACCUAGGGUUUGCUAGUCCUCCGACGGCGCUCGUCGCCAUCGAGAGUUUCUUUCGCCGUAUUGAUCUGUCCCCGACACCCCUCUCCUUCGCUCUUCCUGGCAUACGCUGGUGACUGUUGCUAGGGUUUACGGGCGGCUUCGAUCGGGUUGAAUUCUGCUGCAGCGAGAUCGCAAGAUGGAAAAAGGGCAAGGGAGCGGAUCGGCGAAGGCGCCGCCAGAGCCGGUCAAGGCGCUGCUUGGAAGGUUAACCCUAGUGGAGGAGGCUGAUGAGGAGUUCGUAUGGGAAGAUGAGGUAACUGAUCCCCCAGAGAAGGCUAAGUGGCUGGCCAUAGCCAAAGUGCAUACAACAAGGGGCUUCAGCUCCAGUGCUCUCUUCGCCGACAUGCGAUCGGCCUGGAAUCCAGCGAGAGAUGUUGUUUGGAGGAGGAUCGAUGGGAACCUCUUCACGAUCCAAUUCGACUGUCUCGGCGACUGGAAUAAAGCGAUGAGCCAGGGGCCAUGGUUGUUCAGAAAUCAAGUUCUGCUGAUGGAAGAAUAUGAUGGGUUUGCAAACCCAAGGACAAUCGUCCUUGAUAAAGUGGAUGUCUGGGCACGUGUGCUUAAACUGCCGGACAACUUUCUGUGUGAUGCGGUUGUGAGAGGCAUGUGCAGGCCAUUGGGGAAGAUUCUUGAGGUGCAAAUCACUCUCCCGGCGGGUUUCGUGGGGGAGUCUGUUCGUGUUCGAGCUAAACUGAAUGUGAACAAAAAACUGACGAGAUUCGUGUCGAUAACGAAGGGUGGAGAGAAAGAGUGGUACCAAAUCCAAUAUGAGAAACUCCCAACCUUCUGUGGCAACUGCGGUAUGAUGGGGCACUGGCAUGAAGAGUGCGGAGAUGGAAUUUAUGAUGUAGCUUCACUCGAGUGGGGUGAGUUCAUCCUGGCAGAUGGUGGUCGUGGAAGAGGCCGUGGCAGAGGUGGAGGGCGAGGUUCAGGAGGUGACCGAUCCAACAAUGGGAGGAGUCGGUCUUUUGGCCCUACCUACGAUAGAGGAAACAGUGGCGCUACUGAUGGCUGGACAGGAGAGUUUGGAAGGGGCAGAGGACGUGAAACACAUGCAGAUCAGCCAUAUGCAGACUGGCGCUGGAAUAGCGCACAUAACCAGCAACAGGGAAGCGAACUAGGAGAUAAAAAAUGUGAACCACCGCAGGCUGAGAAUAUCACUAAUAGCGAGAGUUUGCCGAGCACUGGACCCAUGGGUUGUACACACAUGGAAGAGAGUACAUGACAGAUUAUAGUGGCCAAAAGCAGUAACGUUUUGGGCAAGCGUGGCGCUGAUAAUUCUGGUCCCAAUUUGCUAACUGGAGGUGUUGCUGUACCACGGGAUACAGUUAGUGGGGCUAUAGUACCAGUGAGAAACACAACCACUAAAAUUGUUCAAGUUGAUAUUGGAGAUCCCACAAAUUCUGUUUUAACUGAAUAUCCACAAAAAAAAUGCAAAUUUGAAGAAGCGCAAAGGAGAUGACGGAGCAGCGAUUGCCAACAGUAAUAAUGAUACAUCGGCGGCCUCCUUGGCGGAGGACCGUCGGGCGCAAUGAAAACCUUGGCCUGGAACUGCCGUGGAAUGCUUUCGUCCACGGCAGUUCGUGAGCUCUUGGAUCUACAAGGGCGUGUGAAAGCAGAUGUGGUUUUUUUGUCUGAGUCACAUCUGAAUAGAGUAAAGGCAAAUGAGAUUAGGGAGAAACUAGUUUUUGAUCGUUUUCACAUCGUAGAGAGUGAUGGUCGUUCUGGAGGGCUUGUACUUUUUUAUAAUGACUCAAAUGAAGUGGUUUUGAAUUACUCUUCGCCUAAUUUCAUUGAUGGUUUUAUUAUGGAGGGUAAUAAUGUAGUAUGGCGUUGGACAGGUUUCUAUGGAGAACCUAGUUGGGACCUGAAAUAUCUCUCAUGGACGUAUCUGAGGGACCUCCAUAGUAACACAGAGGGGCCGUGGAUGAUCAUUGGAGACUUCAAUGAAAUUUUAAUUGCAAAUGAGAAGGAAGGUGGGAACACCAGGCCGCUACACUUCAUGCAAAAUUUCAGAGAUUGCAUUGAGGAUUGCGGAUUACAGGAAGUCAUGUUUAUUGGAGAUCCCUUUACAUGGAGUAGGGGUACGACUAGGGAGCGUCUUGACAGAGCUUUAUGCAACGGCAAGUGGUCUGAGAAAUUCCCCUACGCGGCUGUAGUACAUGAGCAUCAUAUCCAUUCAGAUCAUAGACCGCUUGUGCUGGUUACAAAUUACUUUGCAACGGUGUUAUCACCACAACCGAAAGGAGAGAGGAGGUUUGAAGCGCGUUGGUUGAAGGAGGAGACAGUGAAUGAGAUCGUCAACACGGCAUGACAGCGAGCCCAUCUGGUGGGUGUCGGACCGUCACUGGCUGAUCGUGCGCGAGCAGUUAAGGCGGAUUUAUUUCAGUGGGAUCGUGACACACUACGAGGGCCGAAGAAAAGGAUACAUAAACUGCAGAAAGAGCUGGAAAAGCUAAGGCGAGGGCAGCUAAACACUGAAUCUAGACAUAAAAUGAAGGAGACACAAAUACUUAUUGAGAACCUACUAGACCAGGAGGAAAUUGUUUGGCUACAGCGAGCGCGGGCAAACUGGUUACUCCACGGUGACCGAAACACGUCUUUUUUUCAUAAAGCAGCAACAUCACGUAAGAAGAAGAAUUGUAUUAAGAGGCCCUUAGAUGAUACAGGUGUGUGGAGAGAAGAUAUGGAUGAAAUCAACUCUAUCAUUACUAGGUAUUUCAGUACUCUGUUUACCUCCCAAGUUAAUGUACCAAACAGGAACGUUUUGGACCAUGUGCAUACUAGGGUAACUACUGAUAUGAAUGAGAGACUGAUGGCUCCUUAUACAGCAGAAGAAGUGAAGAAGGCUUUAUUUUCCAUCGGUGAUCUCAAGGCCCCGGGGCCAGAUGGCUUACAUGCUAUUUUUUACAAGCGUUUUUGGCCCAUGUUUGAUGAUGAUUUGGUCGCAGAAGUACUGAGUGCAGUCAAUUCCCAGGUGAUGCCACAAGGUUGGAACGACACCACGAUUGUCAUGAUCCCAAAGGUACAAACACCAGAGAAAGUUUCGCAGUUUAGACCGAUCAGCCUUUGCAACAUGGUCUAUAAGGUUAUCUCAAAAAUGAUUGCCACAAGACUAGAAUUAUUUUUGUCUGAUAUAGUAAGUCCAACCCAGAGUGCCUUUGUCCCAGGGAGGUUAAUUACGGACAAUGUUAUUAUUGCAUAUGAAAGCUUACAUAUAAUUAAGCAGAAGAAAAUAUGCAAGGAAGGGUGGUGUGCGGUUAAGCUUGAUAUGCAUAAAGCCUAUGACCGAGUCGAGUGGGUGUUCCUGGAAGCUAUUCUCCUCAAGCUUGGUUUUCAUGUAAAAUGGGUGAAUAUGGUUAUGUUAUGUGUAUCUUCUGUUGAAUAUAGAAUCAAGUACAAUUCGACAGAGACUGAAGCGUUCAAACCAUCGAGAGGGCUUCGUCAGGGGGAUCCUCUCUCGCCAUAUCUUUUUCUUCUCUGCACGGAGGGACUAACUGCCCUACUUUCCAGGGCUGAAAAUAACGGCGACCUCGUGGGGGUCAAAGUUUGUCGUGAUGCACCAGCAGUGUCAAAUCUUUUGUUUGCAGAUGACUCACUCAUCCUGAUGAAGGCUAAUGCUACUAAUGCUGCUUGUCUUAAAUCUAUCCUGGAUCUAUAUUGUUCGGCAUCUGGUCAAUUGGUGAGUGUCGAGAAAUCAAGUAUUUUUUUCAGCCCAAGUACAAAUGUCAAUGUGAAGGCACAUGUAUGCUCAAUUUUAGAUAUCAUGACAGAGGCGUUGAAUGACAAAUAUUUGGGCCUCCCAGCUACUUUGGGGAUUGAUAAAAGUGAUAGCUUCCAAUAUCUGAUUGAUCAUCUGGUUCAGAAACUUAUGGGAUGGAAAGAGAGAUGCUUAUCUUCUGGGGGAAAAGAAGUGCUCUUGAAAUCGGUAGCGCAAGCUAUACCAAAUUAUGUGAUGUCCGUCUUCAAAAUUCCUAAAAAAUAUGCAAAAGAAUCACAGAUGCGAUGUCUCAUUAUUGGUGGGGUGAUGACGCUACUAAUAAAAAGAUGCAUUGGUUUGCCUGGUGGAAGAUGUGCGUACCAAAGAAGAAAGGCGGUAUGGGCUUCAGGGACAUUCAUUCUUUUAAUCUUGCACUUUUGGCAAAACAAGCAUGGCGCCUCAUUGACAAUCCAGACUCACUAUGUGCAAUUAUUUUAAGAGCCAAGUACUUCUCGGAUGGAGAUCUUAUGAGUGCUACUUUGAAGCAAAAAUCUUCAUAUACUUGGCAGAGUAUAAUGGCUGGUGUGGACACACUGAAACGUGGGUAUAUUUGGAGAAUUGGAGAUGGUGAAAAGGUGAAUAUAUGGGAGGACCUGUGGAUUCCUCAGUCACCGACAAGAAAGGUCCUAACUAUCCGAGGUAAUAAUUUAAUCACCCGAGUCUGUGAUCUCAUCGAUCUAGCAACUGGAGACUGGGACUCACAAUUGGUUAAUCAAACGUUCUGGAAAGUAGAUGUCCAGAGAAUACUUUCUAUACCCUUGCCCAUAUAUGAAAUGUCAGAUUUCAUUGCAUGGGAUCCCACCAAGAAUGGAAUCUUUUCGGUACGAUCUGCUUACCAAGUGGAAUGGAAUGCUCAAUUUGGUCACUUGCUGCAAACUAGAGCCGAAUCAUCGUAUCCCGACGAGAAGUGGAACUUGAUAUGGACCUUACAAUGCCCCGCAAAGAUCCGGAUUUUUAUUUGGGGAGUUCUCCAUAGUGCUAUUCCGUGUAGGGUGGUUCUUGCCUCGAAGCACAUGAAAGUGAAAACACAUUACCCGGAAUGCAAUAUGGGACCAGAUAGCAUCAAGCAUUUCCUUUUUGAGUGCCCAAGAUCAAAAGAGGUAUGGCGACAAUUGGGGCUGAUUGAUGUUGUCAAGAGGAGAUGUACACAAUUCAAAUCAGGUGAAGAAGUGGUACAUGAAUUAUUAAGCAUGGAGGAAACUGAAGUCUAGAUCCUAGGUCUUCCCAAACUGAAGGAGGUUGUGGCCACUGCGGCAUGGUAUCUAUGGUAUGAACAUCGAAAAAAGUACCAUGGAGAGGAUACCCAAAAACCCUCACAAAUGGCUCUCGCUAUCCGAGGACUCUCAGCUAACUUUACUAUUGCUUGCUCCACUAAGGCAAAGCUACGUGUUGGUUCAUGGGAGAAGCCGAUACAGGGGUAUAUGAAAUUAAAUGUAGAUGCUGGCUUUGACCGUGAUCUUCUUGAGGGAUCAGUGGGGGCAGUAAUCCGAGAUUACAACGGGAAAUUUAUUGCGGCAGCUAAUGAACGAGUGGACAUAUGCUAUGAUUCAUUCACUGCAGAGGCAUUGGCAGUCAGAUUUGGUUUGAAUCUAGCCAGAACCAUUGGAUGCAGCAAGAUCAUGAUCAACUCGGAUAGCAUGGAGGUCGUGGAAGCUUUGAGAGCAGGCAACUCCUCUUCAGUGGCAAGUGCAAUGAUUGAUGAUUGCUAUUUCAUGUCGUCAGAUUUUAAUCACGUAAUUUAUGAUCAUUGUAAUAGAGAGAGUAAUAAAGUAGCUCAUGAACUUGCUAGGAUAGUUAAGUUUUCUCCUCCUUCUAUCUGGAUGGAUUCGGCACCAGAUGUACUGCUUCCAUUGCUUGUAAACGAUGCCACUAUUUUGCUAAGUGAAUAAAGGAGGAGAAGUUCUGUCAAAAAAAUGUAAGACCUUUUUUUUAUACUAGUGAGACGAAGGGAGUAUUAAAGACCACUACAAGCUAGUACACCGCCAAAAUAUAAGCAGCCACAUAGUGCACAAUACGCUGCAUCCCCGCAAAAUCAUUUUGUGCGGUUCGUGCAUGUACCGCUACAUCUGAGACCAUCCACUUUUUCUGAGAUUCGUGAGACUGUAUGGCCUUCGUGAGACUGUAUGGCCCAACUAGAUGUACUUUCUUUCUCUCAGUUUACAGGGCGUGCGCGUACUCCUAGGUCGUCAAUUUGACCAACCUAAUACAAGUCAUAUAUUACAAAAAAUAUAUCAAUAUAAAUUUCAGAUGUUCUAUUUUCAAAAUAUGUAAUUUUUGUGUUAUAUAGUUUGUAUUAGGGUGAUAAAAUUGACAACCUAGGUAUACGCAUAGGACUUGUAAACCGAGACGGAAGGAGUAUAACGCUAGUAUAUUUCUUGUACUCCCUUCGUUUUUAUUUACUUCGCAUAUUAGUUUUGGUCAAAGUCAAGUUUUACAAAUUUUGACAAAGUUUAUAGACAAAAAUAUUAAUAUAUACAAUAACAAAUCAAUACCAUUAGAUUCGUUGUUGAAUGUACUUCCAAAUCAUAUAGAUUUGUUAUGCUAACUAUUUAUAUUCAUUUCUAUAAAUUUGGUCAAACUUUACAAAGUUUGACUUCAAUCAACUCUAAUAUGCGGAGUAAAUAAAAACAGAGGGACUAUCUUUCUUUUUAAUCAAAUCAGUGGCAGCAUAAUGGACCCUAAAAUACAUAAUUUGUAUACACAUGCAUGUCUCACUUUACCUGCAGAACAAAUCCAUAGACUUUAUUUCCUCUUAGACAAUGCAAAUCAACCAUAUCUUUGAAACUGUAGACUCAUUUUUUAAACUUCUUAUAUAUUUGGGCUCCUGGCGUCAAGAGCUUUAAAACUAGACCAAUUUUGGAUACAUUUCGAACACAUUUAAUCUUUCACAUUUCAUAUUUCAUAUGUGGAAUAAACCCAUUUCACUAGAAAAAAUUGAAACAAAAACUAUUUCACUAGAAAUAUGUGAAAAUAACAUUUUUCACAUAAACUUGUUUUACCCAAAUAUGAAACUCAAAUCUCAACUUGUCAAACUAGUUAUUUGGAAGUGUGUAACAUUUUAUUUCAAAAGAGUAAAAUAUGUUAUUUAAAAAAUAUGCAACUGAAAUAGAUGUGAUUUUUGUGAAACAAGCCGGUGAAAUGUAAAAUGCGCGUACUGAAAGUGAAAUGCAAAUGUGUAACGGUUUACUUCAAAAGUGCAAAGUGAAAUGUAGGUUCUGAAAGUGAAAAAUAAUAUGAACUGGAAAUAUCAACUUGUGAACCUGGUUUUUUUUUGAAUGUGUAACAGUUUAUUUCAAAAAAGUGAAACAUCAUCUUAUUUAAAAAUUAUGCAAUUAAAAUAUAUGUGUUUUUAUUAAACAAGUCAGUGGAAAGUGAAAUGUAGGUUCUGAAAGUGAAAGAUAAUAUGAAACUAAAAUGUUUACUUGUGAAACUGAUUAUUUUCAAAUGUGUAACCGUUUAUUUCAACAGAGUGAAACAUGUUAUUUCAAACAUGUGCAAUUGAAAUAUAUGUGUGUCUUUGUGAAAGCUAGUGAAAAGUGAAAUUCAUGUUCUGAAGGUAAAAACAAUAUGAAACUAAAGUUUUAAUUAGUGAAACCGAUUUUUUUGAAAUGUGAAACUGUUUAUUUUAAAAUUGUGAAAUAUGUUCUUGAAAAAAUGUAUAAUUGAAAUAGAUAUGAUUUUUCUGAAACACGCACGUGGAAAGUGAAAUGGUAGUUUUGAAAAUGAAAAACAACAUGAAACCGAAAUGUCAACUUAUGAAAAUGAUUAUUUUGAAAUAUGUAAUAGUUUAUUUCAAAAGCGUGAGAUAUGUUACUCCAAAAUGUGGAAUUGAAAUAGUAUGAUUUUUGUGAAACAAGCUUAUGAAAAGUGAAAUGUUAGUUCUGAAAAUGAAAACAUUAUGAAACCAAAAUGUCAUCUUGUGAAACUGAUUAUUUUCGAAGUGUGUAACAAUUUAUUUGAAAACAGUGAAAUAUGUUUUUUCCAAAAAUAUGAAAUUGAAAUAGAUAUGAUUUAUGUCAAAUAUUUUACAUGAAUUUUAAACCGACUUAAAAUAUAUCCAAAAUCGGUCUUGUUUGAAAGGUCUUUGUGACCGGAGUUCAAAUAUAUAAUAAGUUUUGAAAUCGGAGUUUUGGUGUAAGAGAUAUGAAUGAUUUAAGUUAGCGAAGGUGAAAUAAAUGGAUGAAUUAGUAUAGGAGAGAGAAGAGAGAGAAUGGCAGUACAUGCAGUGGCGGAGCUUGCAGCCCAUACAUGGGCGGGCCGACAAGAAGAACAUAGCUUAUGGGCUGCUGUUUUAAGGCCCAAGAGUAGAUGUAUAUUGUAGAAAACUUCAUGGGCUGGGCGGGCCGCGGCCCAUUCGGCCUUGCUGAAGCUCCGCCGGUGAGUACAUGCAUGCAAACCCAUGUACCAUCUGACUAAAAGCUGACAUUGGUGGGACCUCACAUACCGUAUUGACAAGUUUGAUAGUUGUGUAUUCUCAAAGCAAAAUGAGUUGCUUUUUAUAUUGCACAAUGUACUAGCACUAAUCUAUAGACGGAGGGAACGGCUAGCGAUUUGCUGCUAGGUGCCGGAACCGUGCAAUUUUCUGUUUCGGUUGCAUCCCUCCUAAGAAAUCCCACACAUCGGGCUCUCCAGGCAAAAGGAUGUUAUGACAGCACAAAGCGCGGCCAAGGUUUAACCAACUGCAGAUACAUCUUGGGAAAGCAGUGAAUAGAUCUAAGCAACUAGGCAGCAUGUGAGGUGUAAGUAGAGCAAGAUCUCCAUGGCAGCCCUUCACCGAGCAGUGAUGUUGCGAGUCAUCUUCCACCCUGUCGUGCUGAAGACCUCCCCUGCUAUCAGCUCAGCCUUUUUUACGCCCUCCAUCAUUGUUCUUUGUCUUUUUGGUUUAUCUUCAAAACGAGCCAAUCGUGCAACAUUUAAAUGAACAUAUUGAUAGUCACACAAGGGUAAGAGACCUUGUUGUUUUCGAAAACCAUGUUGCGAUGUAUUCACUUAGUUUUUUUCUUUCAAAAUGAUAGGAGUUCUGCAUUUAUUAAGAAAGAGUUGCUCAGUUAAUUAAAGAAAACCAGGCAAAACCAUAUAUAAAAGGGCCGAACAGCCAACUUCAGGACACACCGUACAAGCCCAGACUGGUCAACAAAAACAAACACACAACAAACAAGAGCCCCCACUCCACCGAGCAAGCUAGCCUCCCACUACUGCUGGAAAGAAUAAGUCGAGACUGCUAUGGGAGGAAUUUGCUAUCCAUGUGUCAGAACUAUGAGUUGGUUGCAAUAUUCUGAUGGAUUUCAGCCCUAGUCUACCCCAACUUGUUUGGGACUAAAGGUUUUUGUUGUUGUUGCUAUGGGAGGAGCAGACCAUGACUCUCCACGGAGGUGACGAGACAAGCACCCACAAAGCCAUGCGCUAGUUAUAGUAGACGACAUGUCGACAACCAACUUAUGGAACGUCGCCACCCACACGAUACAAGGUCAAUGCACUCGAAGUUGUGAAACUCUCAGGGCCGCCGCCCCAACAACCACCGCUCCAUCGUGCCCAGCGCACUCAACCGAUACCGCCUUCUAGGGUCGCCGCCCGGACAUACCACCACUCGGAUCAAGCUGCAACGUCACACGACCUAGCUGCCUGCAGCCCAUGCUGCUCGGGGCGACCGCUCACAGACCACGGUCGUCACACCUCAUCCGAGGCUGUUGCCCUGACAUAUCGUCCAACCGUCCCUUCUAGGAUGCAUCGACUGAGCCGACAACCCUACUGCCCCUGCAGCCCAAGGUUGCCACCCAAGCCAUGUCGAGCUGCAACUCUGCCUCAUGGAGUUGCCGGCGCACCGCUGCUCGAGUCCGUUGUCACGGCGCACAACAAGGUGAAGAAAAUAUGCCCUAGAGGCAAUAAUAAAGUUGUUAUUUAUAUUUCCUUGUAUCAUGAUAAAUGUUUAUUAUUCAUGCUAGAAUUGUAUUAACCGAAAACUUGAUGCAUGUGUGAAUACAUAGACAAAACAAAGUGUCCCUAGUAUACCUACUUGACUAGCUCAUUAAUCAAAGUUGGUUAAGUUUCCUAACCAUAGACAUGUGUUGUCAUUUGAUGAACAUGACCACAUCAUUAGGAGAAUGAUGUGAUGGACAAGACCCAUCCAUUAGCUUAGCAUAAUGGUCAUUAAGUUUUAUUGCUAUUGUUUUCAUCAUGACUUAUAAAUAUUCAUUUGACUAUAAGAUUAUGCAACUCCCGAAUACCGGAGGAACACCUUGUGUUCUAUCAAACAUCACAACGUAACUGGGUGAUUAUAAAGAUGCUCUACAGGUGUCUCCGAAGGUGUUUGUUGGGUUGGCAUAGAUCGAGAUUAGGAUUUGUCACUCCGAGUGUCGGAGAGAUAUCUCUGGGCCCUCUCGAUAAUGCACAUCAAUAUAAGCCUUACAAGCAAUGUGACUAAUGAGUUAGUUGCAGGAUGAUGCAUUACGGAAUGAGUAAAGAGACUUGCCGGUAAUGAGAUUGAACUAGGUAUGAAGAUACCGACGAUCGAAUCUCGGGCAAGUAACAUACCGAUGACAAAGGAAAUGGCGUAUGUUGUUAUUGCGGUUUGACCAAUAAAGAUCUUCAUAGAAUAUGUAGGAACCAAUAUGAGCAUCCAGGUUCCGCUGUUGGUUAUUGAUCAAAGAUGUGUCUCGGUCAUGUCUACAUAGUUCUCGAACCCGUAGGGUCCGCACGCUUAACGUUCGUUGACGAUUUGUAUUAUGACUUAUGUGUUUUGGUGAUCGAAGAUUGUUCGGAGUCCCGGAUGAGAUCACGGACAUGACGAGGAGUCUAGAAAUGGUUGAGAGGUAAAGAUUGAUAUAUUGACGAUGGUAUUCGGACACCGAAUGGUUUCGGAGUGCUCCGGGUAUUUUUCAGAGUACCGAGGGGUUACCGGAACCCCUUGGGGAAAGUAAUGGGCCUACAUGGGCCAUAGGGGAGAGGGGAGGCAGCCCACAAGGGGUGGCCAUGCCCCCCUCCCAUGGGGAGUCCGAAUUGGACUAGGGGAGGGGGCGCGCCCCCCUUUCCUUCUCCUCUUCCCUCUCCUACCACCUUCCCCCCUCCAUGAGAAGGAAAAGAAGGGGGCCGAAUCCUACUAGGACUAGGAGUCCUAGUAGGACUCCCCUCUCCUUGGCGCGCCCCUUGUGGCCGGCCUCCACCCCUCCUCCUUUAUAUAUGGGGGCAAGGGGGGCACCCCAAAGCACAUCAAUUAUUCUCUUAGUCGUGUGCGGUGCCCCCCUCCACAGUUUACUCCUCCGGUCAUAGCGUCGUAGUGCUUAGGCAAAGCCCUGCGCGGAUCACAUCACCGUCACCAUGCUGUCGUGCUGACGAAACUCUCCCUCGACUCUCUGCUAGAUCAAGAGUUCGAGGGACGUCAUCGAGCUGAACGUGUGCUAAACUUGGAGGUGUUGUAUGUUCAGUACUUGAUCGGUUGGAUCAUGAAGACGCUCGACUACAUUAACCGUGUUAAACUAACGCUUCCGCUUUCGGUCUACGAGGGUACGUGGACACACUCUCCCCCUCUCGUUGCUAUGCAUCUCCUAGAUAGAUCUUGCGUGAUCGUAGGAAUUUUUUUUAAAUUGCAUGCUAUGUUCCCCAACACAAGGUUCUGGGGUCGUUGCCCGAACAUACACCCGUGUGACGACGAGAGACUGCCACACCGCUGCCAAAGGUUAACCCUCCAAGGUGACGCCUCCAAGGAGGUCAUGACGUAGACGCCGCCAUAGCCCACUCCAAAGAACCUGAGUUUGGUUUUCACCAAGAGAGUCCAAGCACCACACGAGGGGAGAGCGCAAGGAUCUUCGAGGCAACACGCCCAAGGUGGUAACGAUCCCCGCAUGCGCCCCGUUGCAAAACGCUUUCGCCUGAGGUCCUCCUCUCCCGUCAGUGGUCUUGCCAAUCUGUACCACCCAUGGGUAUCGAACCAUCGGAGCCAAGCCCACUUUGCAGGACAUCCACCAUCGCUAGCCACGAUACCACUUCCUCGUGACAAUUUAUUGUGGCCCCUCAUGCCACGAAGCAGCAUCGCGCCCUCUAGGAUCAGAUCUGACCAGAUUGCGUCUACAUUCUUAAUCCUGCAGCAUGUAGCCACGGGCCCCGAUAACCUGCAUUGAGCCGGAUUGAGCAGAUCAGGAGUCAUCCCAUUAUGUGCCCAGCGGUCCACCCAUCACGGUGUUGGAAAUAUGCCCUAUAGGCAAUAAUAAAAUGGUUAUUAUUAUAUUUCCUUGUUCAUGAUAAUUGUCUAUUGUUCAUGCUAUAAUUGUAUUAACUGAAAACCGUAAUACAUGUGUGAAUACAUAGACCACAACAUGUCCCUAGUGAGCCUCUAGUUGACUAGCUCGUUGAUCAAUAGAUGGUUAUGGUUUCCUGACCAUGGACAUUGGAUGUCAUUGAUAAUGGGAUCACAUCAUUAGGAGAAUGAUGUGAUGGACAAGACCUAAUCCUAAGCAUAGCACAAGAUCGUGUAGUUCGUUUGCUAAAAGCUUUUCUAAUGUGAAGUAUCAUUUCUUUAGACCAUGAGAUUCUGCAACUCCCGGAUACCGUAGGAAUGCUUUGGGUGUGCCAAACGUCACAACAUAACUGGGUAGCUAUAAAGGAGAACUACGGGUAUCUCCAAAAAUGUCUGUUGGGUUGGCACGAAUCGAGACUGGGAUUCGUCACUCCGUGUGACGAAAAGGUAUCUCUGGGCCCACUCGGUAAUGCAUCAUCAUAAUGAGCUCAAUAUGACUAAGUAGUUAGUCACGGGAUCAUGCAUUACAGAACGAGUAAAGUGACUUGCCGGUAACGAGAUUGAACGAGGUAUUGGGAUACCGACGAUCGAAUCUCGGGCAAGUAACGUACCGAUUGACAAAGGGAAUUGUAUACGGGAUUGAUUGAAUUCCCGGCAUCGUGGUUCAUCCGAUGAAAUCAUCGUGGAACAUGUGGGAGCCAACACGGGUAUCCAGAUCCCGCUGUUGGUUAUUGUCCAAAGAACUGUCUCGGUCAUGUCUGCAUGAUUCCCGAACCCGUAGGGUCUCCACACUUAAGGUUCGGUGACGCUAGAGUUGUUAUGGGAAUUAGUGUGCAGUUACCGAAUGUUGUUCGGAGUCUUGGAUGAGAUCCCGGACGUCACGAGGAGUUUCGGAAUGGUCCGGAGGUAAAGAUUUAUAUAUGGGAAGUCCUAUUUUGGCCACCGAAAAAUGUUCGGGAUUUUUCGGUAUUGUACUGGGAACGUUCUAGUAGGUUCCGGAGUGGGGCCCACCUGCAUGGGGGACCCGCAUGAACGUGGGUAGUGGGGGCAAGGCCCCACACCCCUAGUCAAGGCGCACCAAGAUUCCCCCUUAGAAGGAAUAAGAUCAUAUCCCGAAGGGAUAAGAUCAAGAUCCCUAAAAAGGGGGGAUAACAAUCGGUGGGGAAGGAAAUGAUGGGAUUUCUUUCCUCCCACCUUUGUCAACGCCCCAUGGACUUGGAGGGCAAGAAACCAGACCCCUCCACCCCUAUAUAUAGUGGGGAGGCGCAUGAGAGCUUCACCCCUGGCCCCUGGCGCAGCCCUCCCAUCUCCAACUCCACCUCCUCCUCAAUAGUGCUUGGCGAAGCUCUAGCGGAGAACUGCAAGCUCCACCACCACGCCGUUGUGCUGCCGGAGCUCUCCCUCAACUUCUCAUCUCCCCUUGCUGGAUCAAGGAGGAGACGUCCCCGGGCUGUACGUGUGCUGAACUCGGAGGCGUCGUCCGUUCGGCGUUAGAUCGGAUCUUCCGCGAUUUGAAUCACCGCGAGUACGACUCCCUCAUCCGCGUUCUUGUAACGCUUCCGCAUUGCGAUCUUCAAGGGUAUUAAGAUGCACUCCCCUCUCUCUUGUUGCUGGUCUCUCCAUAGAUUGAUCUUGGUGAUGCGUAGAAAUUUUUUAAUUUCUGCAACGAUCCCCAACAGUGGCAUCAUGAGCUAGGUCUAUGCGUAGUUUUCUAUGCAUGAGUAGAACACAAGUUGUUGUGGGUGUCGAUUUUGUCAAUUUACUUGCCGUUACUAGUCUUAUCUUGAUUCGGCGGCAUCGUGGGACAGGUUCCACCAACUGACAUGCACUAAUUGCAUAAGGUGGCUAGCGGGUGUCUGUCUCUCCCAUUUUAGUCGGAUCGGAUUCGAUGAAAAGGGUCCUUAUGAAGGGUAAAUAGCAAUUGGCAUAUCACGUUGUGGUUUUGGCAUAGGUAAGAAACGUUCUUGCUAGAAACCUAUAGCAGCCACGUAAAAACUUGCAACAACAAUUAGAAGAUGUCUAACUUGUUCUUGCAGCAUAUGCCGUGUGAUGUGAUAUGGCCAAAAGGAUGUGAUGAAUGAUAUAUAUGUGAUGUAUGAGAUUGAUCAUGUUCUUGUAAUAGGAAUCACGACUUGCAUGUCGAUGAGUAUGACAGCCGGCAGGAGCCAUAGGAGUUGUCUUAAUUUAUUGUAUGACCUGCGUGUCAUUGAAUAACGCCAUAUAAUUACUUUACUUUAUUGCUAAACCGUUAGCCAUAGUAGUAGAAGUAAUAGUUGGCGAGACAACUUGAUGAAGACACGAUGAUGGAGAUCAUGAUGAUGGAGAUCAUGGUGUCAUGCCGGUGACGAUGAUGAUCAUGGCGCCUCGAAGAUGAAGAUCAAAAGGAGCAAAAUGAUAUUGGCCAUAUCAUAUCACUAUUUGAUUGCAUGUGAUGUUUAUCAUGUUUUUACAUCCUAUUUGCUUAGAACGACGGUAGCAUAAAUAAGAUGAUCCCUCGCUAAAAUUUCAAGAAAGUGUUCCCCCUAACUGUGCAUCGUUGCGAAGGUUUGUUGUUUUGAAGCACCACGUGAUGAUCGGGUGUGAUAGAUUCUAACGUUCGAAUACAAUGGGUGUAAGCCAAAUUUACACAAGCAAAACACUUAGGUUGACUUGACGAGCCUAGCAUGUACAGACAUGGCUCGGAACACAAGAGACCGAAAGGUCAAACAUGAGUCGUGUAGCAGAUACGAUCAACAUGAAGAUGUUCACCGAUGAUGACUAGUCUGUCUCACAUGAUGAUCGGACACGGCCUAGUUGACUCGGAUCAUGUAUCACUUAGAUGACUAGAUGGAUGUCCAUCUGAGUGGGAGUUCAUUAAAUUAGAUGAACUUAAUUAUCAUGACAUAGUCAAAAGGUCUUUGCAAAUUAUGUCGUAACUUGCGCUUUAGUUCUACUAUUUUAGAUAUGUUCCUAGAGAAAAUUUAGUUUAAAGUUGAUAGUAGCAAUUAUGCGGACUAGGUCCGUAAACUGAGGAUUGUCCUCAUUGCUAUGCAGAAGGCUUAUAUCCUUAAUGCACCGCUCGGUGUGCUGAACCUGGAACAUCGUCUGUGGAUGUUGCGAACAUCUGACAUACACGUUUUGAUGACUACGUGAUAGUUCAGUAAUGUUAAACGGUUUAGAAUUGAGGCACCGAAGACGAUUUUGAAACGUCGCGGAACAUAUGAGAUGUUCAAAGGGCUGAAAUUGGGAUUUCAGGCUCGUGCCCAUGUCAAGAGGUAUGAGACCUCUGACGAGUUUCUUAAGCCUGCAAACUAAGGGAGAAAAGCUCAAUCGUUGAGCAUGUGCUCAGAUUGUCUAAGUACUACAAUCACUUGAAUUGAGUGGGAGUUAAUCUUCCUUAAGAGAUAGUGAUGGUUCUCCAAAGUCAUUGCCACCAAGCUACUAGAGCUUCGUGAUGAACUAUAACAUAUCAGGGAUAGAUAUGAUGAUCCUUGAGCUAUUCGCGACGUUUGACACCGCAAAAGUAGAAAUCAAGAAGGAGCAUCAAUUCUUGAUGGUUAGUGAAACCACUAGUUUCAAGAAGGGCAAGGGCAAGAAGGGAUACUUCAUGAAACGGCAAAUCAGUUGCUGCUCUAGUGAAUAAACCCAAAGUUUGAACCCAAACCCGAGACUAAGUGCUUCUGUAAUGAGGGGUACGGUCACUGAAGCAGAACUACCCUAGAUACUUGGUAGAUGAGAAGGCUGGCAAGGUCGACAGAAGUAUAUUGGAUAUACUUUAUAUUAAUGUGUACUUUACUAGUACUCCUAGUAGCACCAGGGUAAUACAUACCGGUUCGGUUGCUAAGUGUUAGUAACUCAAAAUAAAAGGCUACGUAAUAAACGGAGAGUAGCUGAAGGCGAGGUGACGAUAUGUGUUGGAAGUAUUUCCAAGAUUGAUGUUAUCAAACAUCGCACGCUCCCUCUACCAUCGGGAUUGGUGUUAAACCUAGAUAAUUGUUAUUUGGUGUUUGCGUUGAGCAUAGACAUGAUUGGAUUAUGUUUAUCACAAUACGGUUUUUCAUUUAAGGAGAAUAAUGGUUACUCUGUUUAUUUGAAUAAUACCUUCAAUAGUCUUGCACCUAAAAUGAAUGGUUUGAAUCUCGAUCGUAGUGAUACACAUGUUCAUGCCAAAAGAUAUAAGAUAGUAAUGAUAGUACGACCUACUUGUGGCACUGCCAUUUGAGUCAUAUUGGUCUAACACAUGAAGAAGCUCCAUGUUGAUGGAUCUUUUGGACUCACUCGUUUUUUGAAAAGUGUGAGACAUGCGAACCAUGUCUAUUAGUAUGUACGCAUGAAGAAACUCCAUGCAGAUGGAUCAUUUGGACUCACUUGAUUUUGAAUCACUUGAGACAUGCAAAUCCUACCACAUGGGCAAGAUGACUGAAAAGCCUCUUUUUCAGUAAGAUGGAACAAGAAAGCAACUUGUUGGAAGUAAUAAGUUUUGAUGUGUGCAGCCCAAUGAGUGCUGAGGCACGCAGUGGAUAUCGUUAUGUUCUUACUUCACAGAUGAUUUGAGUAGAUGCUGAGUAUAUUUACUUGAUGAAACACAAGUCUGAAUGAUUGAAAGGUUCAAGUAAUUUCAGAGUGAAGUUGAAGAUCGUCGUGACAAGAGGAUAAAAUGUCUAUGAUAUGAUCAUAGAGAUGAGUAUCUGAGUUAUGAGUUUUCUAUACAAUUAAUACAUUGUGGAAGUUGUUUCACAACUAAUACCGCCUAGAACACCAUAGUGUGAUGGUGUGUCCGAACAUUAUAGCUGCACCCUAUUGGAUAUGGUGCAUACCAUGAUGUCUCUUAUCGAAUUACCACUAUCAUUUAUGGGUUAGGCAUUAGAGACAACCGCAUUCACUUCAAAUAUGGCACCACGUAAUUCCGUUGAGAUGAUAGCGUAUGAACUAUGGUUCAGAGAAACCUAAGUUGUCAUUUCUUAAAAGUUUGGGGCUGCGAAGCUUAUGUGGAAAAGUUUUAGCCUGAUAAGCUCAAACCCAAAGCGGAUAAAUGCAUCUUCAUAGGACACCCAAAACAGUUGGGUAUGCCUCCUUUCAGAUCCAGAAGCAAAAGUGAUUGUUUCUAGAAACGGGUCCUUUCUCGAGGAAAAGUUUCUCUUGAAAGAAUUGAGUGGGAGGAUGGUGGAGACUUGAUGAGGUUAUUGAACCAUCACUUCAACCAAUCUGUAGCAGGGCACAGGAAGUUGUUCCUGUGGCGCCUACACCAGUUGAAGUGGAAGCUGAUGAUAGUGAUCAUGAAACUUCGGAUCAAGUCACUACCAAACCUCGUAGGUCGACAAGGACACAUACUGCUUCGGAGUGGUAUGGUAAUCCUGUCUUGGAGGUCAUGUUGCUAGAAAACAAUGAACCUACGAGCUGUGGAGAAGCGAUGGUGGGCCCGAAUUCCGACAAAUGGUUCGAGGCCAUAAAAUCCGAGAGAGGAUCCAUGUAUAAAACAAAGUGUAGACUUUGGAAGAACUACUUGAUGGCCGUAAGGCUGUUGGGUACAUAUGGAUUUUAAAAGGGAAGACGGACAAUGAUGGUAAGUGUCACCAUUAAGAAAGCUCGACUUGACGCUAAGAUGUUUUCCGACAAGUUCAAGGAGUUGACUACGAUGAGACUUUCUCACUCGUAGCAAUGCUAAGAGUCUGUUGAAAUUAUAUUAGCAGUUCCUGCAUUAUUUAUGAAAUCUUGCAGAAAGGAUGUCAAAACAUUGUUUCCUCAAUGAUUUUCUUGAGGAAAGGUUGUAUGUGAUACAACCAGAAGGUUUUGUCAAUCCUAAAAGAUGCUAACAAGUAUGCAAAGCUCCAGCAAUCCUUCUAAGGACUGGAGUAAGCAUCUCGAAGUUGGAAUAUACGCUUUGAUGAGAUGAUCAAAGAUUUUGGGUUUAUACAAAAUUUAUGAGAAACUUGUAUUUCCAAAGAAGUGAGUGGGAGCACUAUAGCAUUUCUGAGGAGUAUAUAUUGUUGACAUGUUGUUGAUCAGAAAUGAUGUAGAAUUUCUGGAAAGCAUAUAGGGUUAUUUGAAAAGUGUUUUUCAAUGGAAAACGUGGAUUAAGCUACAUGAACAUUGAGCAUCAAUAUCUAUAAGGAUAGAUCAUGAUCGCUUGAUAGUACUUUCAAAUGAGUACGCACCGUGACAAGAUUUGAAGGAGUUCAAAAUAGAUUGGCAAAGAAGGAGUUCUUGGCUAUGUUAUAAGAUGUGAGUAUUGAGUAAGACUCAAGACCUGACCACGGCAGAAGAGAGAGAAAGGACGAAGGUCAUCGCCUAUGCUUUAGACGUAGGCUCCACGGUAUGCUAUGAUGUGUACCGCACCUAAAGUGUGCCUUGCCAUGAGUCAGUCAAGGGGUACAAGUGUGAUCCAGGAAUGGAUCAUAGGACAACGGUCAAGGUUAUCCUUAGUAACUAGUGGACUAAGGAAUUUUCUCGAUUAUGGAGGUGGUAAAAGAGUUCGUCGUAAAGGGUUACACCAAUGCAAACUUUGACACUAAUCUGGAUGACUCUGAGUAGUAGACCGGAUUCGUAUAGUAGAGCAGUUAUUUGGAAUAGUUCCAAAUAGCACAUGGUAGCUGCAUCUAGGAGAUGACAUAGAGAUUUGUAAAGCACACACAGAUCUGGAAGAUUCAGACCCGUUGACUAAUAACCUCUCUCACAAGCGAGAUAUGAUCAAACCCAAUGGGUGUUGGAUUCAUUACAAUCACAUAGUGAUGUGAACUAGAUUAUUGACUCUAGUGCAAGUGGGAGACUGUUGGAAAUAUGCCCUAGAGGCAAUAAUAAAAUGGUUAUUAUUAUAUUUCCUUGUUCAUGAUAAUUGUCUAUUGUUCAUGCUAUAAUUGUAUUAACUGGAAACCGUAAUACAUGUGUGAAUACAUAGACCACAACAUGUCCCUAGUGAGCCUCUAGUUGACUAGCUCGUUGAUCAAUAGAUGGUUAUGGUUUCCUGACCAUGGACAUUGGAUGUCAUUGAUAACGGGAUCACAUCAUUAGGAGAAUGAUGUGAUGGACAAGACCCAAUCCUAAGCAUAGCACAAGAUCGUGUAGUUCGUUUGCUAAAAGCUUUUCUAAUGGGAAGUAUCAUUUCCUUAGACCAUGAGAUUGUGCAACUCCCGGAUACUGUAGGAAUGCUUUGGGUGUGCCAAACGUCAGAACGUAACUGGGUGGCUAUAAAGGUGAACUACGGGUAUCUCCCAAAGUGUCUGUUGGGUUGGCACGAAUCAAGACUGGGAUUUGUCACUCCGUGUGAUGGAGAGGUAUCUCUGGGCCCACUCGGUAAUGCAUCAUCAUAAUGAGCUCAAUAUGACUAAGUAGUUAGUCACGGGAUCAUGCAUUAUAGAACGAGUAAAGUGACUUGCCGGUAACGAGAUUGAACGAGGUAUUGGGAUACCGACGAUCGAAUCUCGGGCAAGUAACGUAAUUGACAAAGGGAAUUGUAUACAGGAUUGAUUGAAUCCCCGACAUCGUGGUUCAUCUGAUGAGAUCAUCGUGGAACAUGUGGGAGCCAACAUGGGUAUCUAGAUCCCGCUGUUGGUUAUUGUCCAAAGAGCUGUCUCGGUCAUGACUGCAUGAUUCCCGAACCCGUAGGGUCUACACACUUAAGGUUUUGGUGACGCUAGAGUUGUUAUGGGAAUUAGUGUGCAGUUACAGAAUAUUGCUCGGAGUCCCGGAUGAGAUCCCGGACGUCACGAGGAGUUCCGAAAUGGUCUGGAGGUAAAGAUUUAUAUAUGGGAAGUCCUAUUUUGGCCACCGAAAAAUGUUCGGGAUUUUUCGGUAUUGUACCGAGAAGGUUCUAGAAGGUUCUGGAGUGGGGCCCACCUGCAUGGGGGGACCCGCAUGAACGUGGGUAGUGGGGGCAAGGCCCCACACCCCUGGUCAAGGCGCACCAAGAUUCCCCCUUAUAAGGAAUAAGAUCAUAUCCCGAAGGGAUAAGAUCAAGAUCCCUAAAAAGGGGGGAUAACAAUCGAUGGGGAAGGAAAUGAUGGGAUUUCUUUCCUCCCACCUUUGGCAAUGCCCCAAUGGACUUGGAGGGCAAGAAACCAGACCCCUCCACCCCUAUAUAUAGUGGGGAGGUGCAUGAGAGCUUCAGCCCUGGCCCCUAGCGCAGCCCUCCCCAUCUCCAACUCCACCUCCUCCUCAAUAGUGCUUGGCGAAGCCCUGUCGGAGAACUGCAAGCUCCACCACCACGCCGUCGUGUUGCCGGAGCUCUCCCUCAACUUCUCCUCUCCCCUUGCUGGAUCAAGAAGGAGGAGAUGUCCCAGGGCUGUACGUGUGUUGAACGCGGAGGCGUCGUCCGUUCAGCGUUAGAUCGGAUCUUCCGCGAUUUGAAUCACCGCGAGUACGACUCCCUCAUCCGCGUUCUUGUAACGCUUCCGCAUCGCGAUCUUCAAGGGUAUGAAGAUGCACUCCCCUCUCUCUCGUUGCUAGUCUCUCCAUAGAUUGAUCUUGGUGAUGCGUAGAAUUUUUUUAAUUUCUGCAACGAUCCCCAACACACGGACCACAUAGUCAGAGCCGACUCCUGUGAGCUCGCACGAAACAACCCAAUGAUGGUGGCCGAGGAUGGGCACACAACCUACUUAUCAUGGACCUCAUAGCCGGGACUAAAUCACCCAGGGCGCAUAGGUGAGAGUGCAAGGCCUCGCUCAACAGCGGCCCCGUAGCCGCCCAAUGAAGAUGGCCCCGGGCGGUCCAUCCAUCCCUAGUGGCGGGGUGGACCCGGCCAGACCAUCGGGCGCACGGGUUUCAUGUGCGGGCGCUGCCCAAUGACUGGUGGACCGGACGCACCAGGCGGUCCACCUAUCAUGGACCCUCCAGCCUGGUCGUCCGGGUCUGAGCUGUCCUGGCAAAUCCGACGGUCAGGAGCGGCUGAGAGAGGCUCUCUCAGCAUGCCACCCGACUAUGGACAGUUGAGCGGCUUUUUUCGCCGUUGAGCAGCCUAGAAAGGCGGGUACACUAGCAUCCUUUAUAUAAGUAAAAUGACCAAGCCUUUUGCCUCUGUUUUGAAGAAAAAAGCGCCAGAGCUGAGCAAUGAGGCAAGGCAGUAGUUGCGCCAGCUCGCGGAGGGUGAACACGAACACAACACAUUAAUGCAUAAACUGAUUUCAUAAAUCUCAAGAUGAUAUGCCGACUAAGUCUCUCGGAGGUGCUUAUAGGGAUAGGGUGUGCGUGUGUGCAUUCAUAUGGGUGAGUGUACGCGUGUAUAUAUGAGCGCUUGCUUCCGUACUGUGUUAAGGCGAGAGGGGCGUGAUGAUGGGCAGCGACGCAGGGCUGUGACGCCACCCCCUGUUUCUCGCGGCUCUGAUGUCGCUCAUCGUCGCAACCGAUCGAUGGAUCGGCCGAGGGCAUAGGGGACGGUUCAGUGAGGACGGUCUCCUCCUCCUUCGCCCCGCACCACUUCCUGCGACAUCAUCGAGCUUCGGACUUCCUCCUCAAGCCCUGUCUGGCUGCGAAGGGCGAUGGCAUGUUUCGGCACCCAAGUUCAGCCCUCGCUGAUGCUGGACGAGGCACCCUUGUCACCAACUGUUGCUGCCCCGGGUCCAAGUUAUGUUGCUGGCUUGGUUGAGGAGCCCCGCACGCCUGUCUUCGUGUCGCGCCCUGUGGUAUCACCGGUGUCGAGCUGCAGGGACAAUGAUGCUACGGGUGCGAGCGACACCCCUCUCUUCGUGUCGGCGGCACCUUCUCUCCUUGCUGCCUCAAGCUCCACCCCACCAAGGCGACCUGCUGCUAGGAGGAAGACGUUGGCGGGGGUCACCGGCUUUGAUCUUAGCAGGGGCAGCCCUCGGCUACGUGCAAAGAAGUGGGUCAUGCCCAUUGCCCUGCUUGCCGAGCAACUACUCUGCCAAAGGUUGGGGAUCAUGGGAGAGGGGGAUAAGGUCACCCAAGAGGCACUGAGCCGCUACGUCGCCAUGUUCCAGGGCCAGCUGCCGGACUCGGCUGUUGCGGCCCUCCGAGCUCUCUUCAGGAUGGACUGCGACCUGGCCACUAUGGUGGAAGAGGCGUUGCUGCAGCAUGGUGGAGAAGCAGGCCCGAAGAUGGCCACACUAAUGGUCGGCGAGGCUGCAGACGCGACCUGAUGAAUCCUAGGUUUCAACUGAUGAUGUAGUGUUCUUCCAAAUGUUACGCACCCUGUACUGCAUGUUGUUAUGCCUAUUUGUGGCUGGGAUGUUCAGCUGCUUUCUGUUGCCUUGGCGAGGCGAAUCAAACCUUUACUGCUAUUUGGCCAAUGCUUCUAUGAUGUUCCCUGAUUCUAUCCAUUGUUUAGUCACAACCUCAGUAUUCUGAAUUAGAAUGUUCGAGGGCUAAAUUGCCCCAAUAGAAGAUCUACUGUCAAUGAAACUGUCACUGCCUCGGCAUGUCACUUAGCGUGCUUCCAAGAAACAAAGCUGGAGUUAGUCGACCCUGUCAUCGCUUCUUUACUGGGCGGCUACAGACUCAAAGGAUUUGCAUAGUGACCGGCUACAGGCACUCGUGGUGGAAUUCCCUACUUUGGGAUGAGGAUCACCUCAAGCUUGACAAUGUGCAUUUUGGAACCUACACCCUGUCCGCAAAGAUAACCAUCAUCAGCUCCAGUACCUCUUUCAACUUCACAACGGUCUAUGGGCCAAUGAGAAAUAACCUCAAAGAUGAUUUCUUCAACGAGCUGAUGGCUGAGAAGCCGCCCCCGGGUGAUGGUUGGCUGGUCACGGGCGACUUCAACCAAAUCUACCGCGCUCGAGAUAAGAACCGGUCCAAUGCAAACCAGAGCUGCAUCACUCGCUCCCGCGACGCCCUCAAUUUCUACGAGCUCAAACAAAUACACCUGCAAAACAGGAAGUUCACCUGGAGCAAUGAGCAAAGUAAUCCAACCAUGUCCAAGCUUGAUGGCUUUUUCUGAAUGAGGAUUGGGACAUCACUUUUGGCAAACAUAUCCUCCAGGCUCUGUCUUCAUCCCUUUCAGAUCACUGCUCGCUUCUGCUUGUUAAUGAUGAUUGUCGAAGGCGCCCCAAGACUUUUUGCUUUGAAAACUUCUGUACCAACAUGCCCGGCUUUCGGCAAACUGUCCAAAAUGCUUGGAGCGAGCCCUCCGCGCACAUGGAGGAGUACCAAAGGCUCUUCCAUAAGCUGAAGCGCACAUGCCAGAGGCUCAGGACCUGGAGUAAGACCCUUUUUCUCCCAGGCCAAGGUCCAGCUUUACAUGGCUCUUGAGAUCAUCUUGCGACUUGACGAGGCUCAAGAUUCCAGAGAGCUUAGUGCGGAGGAGGCGAACCUCCGAAAAAGGCUCAAGAGAAGAGUGGUUGGUCUGGCUGCGAUGGAGCGUGCUAGGAAAAAGCAAAAUUCACGGAUAGCUGAUAUCAAAUAGGUAGAUGCAAACACCCGUUACUUCCAUCUUCGGAUCAAUGGGAGGCGCCGAAAAAUCUUAUUCACAGACUCAAGCAUGGAGAUGGCUGGGUAACUAGUCAUGAUCAGAAAAGCAAUAUUGUUCACGAGCACUUCGCCAAUAUUUCCAAGAGAGGCCUGCCAUGCCCCAAAACUAUCAAUUGGGCCGCUUUUCCCCCUUCGGGUCAUGAUCUUUCCGACCUUGGGGAUCUCAUCACGGAGGAUGAGGUCAAGGACGCAAUCUCGUCCCUACCUCGAGACAAGGCUCCGGGACCCGACGGUUUCACCGGGAAAUAUUUCAAGGUUUGCUGGGACAUUAUCAAAGAUGAUGUCAUGCUAGUGAUCAACAAGUUCUCCAAUUUGCAUGUGGAAAACUUCCACUGGCUAAACUCGGCGAAUAUUGCCCUCAUCCCCAAGAAGGAUGGUGCCGAAGACAUCUCGAACUUCCGACCCAUCAGCCUGAUUCAUGCCAUUGCAAAGAUCAUUGCCAAAAUCCUUGCAACUCGGCUGGCCCGUCACAUGAACAAUAUCGUCUCUGCUAUGCAGAGUGCCUUCAUCAAAACAAGGAGUAUACACGACAACUUCCUGUAUGUUUGCAAUUUGGCCAGAAAGUUUCAUCUAAAAAAACCCAUGCUCCUCUUCAAGCUGGAUAUUAAGAAGGCAUUUGACUAGGUAAAAUGGAUUAUUUAAUGGAGCUGCUGGCACAUCAUGGCUUCUCGAGUAGGUUUUGAGGGUGGGUGUCGUUUCUCCUCUCCUCAGCCUCCUCCAGAGUCUAGCUAAAUGGUGUUGCCGGCUACCCAAUCAAGCAUGGAUGUGGCCUCCAGCAGGGCGAACCUCUUUCACCGCCGCUCUUCGUGCUUGCCAUUGACCCGCUCCAUCGCAUCCUGGAGAAGGCCACCUCUCAAGGUCUGCUACAUCCGCUUGGCGGCCGCUUCACGGGCAUUAGGGCUUCUCUGUGCGCUGAUGACGCGGCGAUCUUUUGUUCCCCAUCAAGGAAGAUGUCAGCUUCAUUGCCAGCACGCUUACAUCCUUCGGCCAGUCAACUGGGUUGGUCACCAACUGCACAAAGAGUUUGGUUGCUCCCAUCCAAUGCGCCAACCUGGACCUUGAUGACAUUCUGCAACACUUCCCAGCGGGGCGAUCUUCCUUCCCAAUUCGUUACUUAGGCCUUCCGCUUGUGAUUCGGCGACUCAAAAAGAUCCAUUUGCAGCACCUUCUGGACAUAGCGGCCGGGAAGCUUGCACCAUGGAAAGGGAAGCAUGUGGCCAUUGCGGGCCGAAUGGCCUUGGUCAAGGCGGUCCUCAUGGUGGUGGCCAUCUAUCAUAUAACUCCACUGGACCUCCCAGUAGAGGUGCUACAGAAGCUUGACAGGCUGAGGAAAGCCUACCUUUGGGCUGGAACUGACAUUGUGUCCGGCAACAAAUGCAAAAUUAAUUGGGAGCAAGUUUGUAGGCCAAAACAGUUUGGGGGCCUCGGAAUCCUCAAUCUGAAGAAGUUCGCCACCGCUCUCCAUCUUAGGUGGCUUUGGCUGGAGUGGAAUGACCCGCCAAGAACAUGGUGCGGUUCUGAGAUCCCUUGUGGCAAGGUAGAUCGGGACAUUUUCGCGGCUGCCACCAAGGUCUCACUUGGCGACGGCACCAAGGCCAAAUUCUGGGAAUCCUCGUGGCUAGAUGGCAUCCGCCCCAAAGACAUUGCCCCAAAAAUCUUCGAGAUAUCAAGAAAGAAGUGUGGCACCGUUGCUUCGGCCAUCAGAGAUAACAAUUGGAUAACUUCGAUUGACACAAGUACAAGACUCUCUCAUGUUCACCUUGAACAAUUUGUUGAUCUUUGGAACAGGCUCUCGAAUGUCAAUGUCCAACCGGGAGUCCCAGACACCAUUCUCUGGAAGCUAUCCAAUGAUGGGAUCUACUCUGCCAAGACUGCAUACCUGAUGCAAUUUGCUGGCCAUGUUCAAUCCAACAUGCAAACCAUUGUCUGGAAGGCUUGGGCACCCCCCAAAUAUAAUUAUUAUUUUUGCAUGGUUGGUCACUCAAAAUAGGAUCUGGACGGUGGAUAGGCUUCAACGUCUAGGGUGGCAAAAUUGCAAUCGCUGCCCUCUUUGCAAUCAAGUGCAAGAGUCCGCGGCGCACCUUCUAUUCAAGUGCCACUACUCCAUUCGGGUCUGGAAGGAGAUCCUUACAUGGCUGCACCUAGAUGUCGAUAUCACACAUUGGAUGAUCUACGACAAGGUGGGUUCUUGGUGGGAUGGGGUCCUCACCAACAAUGCGUUGCCAACGAAAGCCCUCACCUCCCUUCUUCAUCUUGUAAGCUGGGUGGUUUGGAAUGAGCGAAAUGCACGCGUGUUCAGGAAUGCGGCGCCGGUGAUGGUGGUCGUGCGAUCUAUUAAGGAGGAGGCUUUCCUAUGGGCCAUGGCGGGCGCUAAACAUUUGUGUAAUUUGAUGCCGCGAGAGUAGAUCUUUGUAAUUUCCCCCGUUUUCACGGGGCGGGGAUGUCGCUAAAACUCUUUCUUCUCCUUAUUCAACGAAAAUGGCAAUCGUUUCAAAAAAAAGCAUAAACUGAAUUUUCUUUUUCUAGUCUAGUUAAUAACAAGAGGCGCGGGGUUGAUACAACACAAAACCACCAGAUAAGAAGGAAGAAAAUUUUGGACCGAUCUAUCGAAGACCAAUCUACACCGGAGUUGCCCGCCCGCGGUGCGCCGGCGCCGGCUCUGUGGAUGCCCUGCAGAGCGGGCAAGUGCUGCUGGUGCGCAGCCACGCCCUGAGGCAGCGCCUGUGGAACAUGUGGCCGCACGCCGGCAGGACGCGGCACCGGUCGCCGCCGGCCUCGUAGGGCUCCAUGCAGAUCACGCACUCGCUCCGGUCAUCCGAAGUGGCAGCCGAGUCGUCGUGGUCGGCGGGUGGCCGCAUGUACGACUCGUCAGGUGCGCUUGGCCGCACCUGCUCGACCUCCACCCACGCGUCGUCCGGCGUCGGCGUCGGGGUCGGCUCGUUCCGGGCCGCCUCCGCGGCCAUCCUGAGGGCCUCCGCGGACUCCCUGACGACCAGCGCGGCGGCCGCGAUCGUGUCGCAGGCUGUGACGAUGGCCCGACAUACUCGUGCAAUGCACUCCAUCGCACCGUCCAUGUUGACCAUGGCAGAAAGGAUGGAUCGGUUGGCCCUGAUGAUGCCGGCGGCGAUUCCCUCGACAAGCACGCGAGCGCGUACCUGGAAUCGACUAGCUUGGAAACCUCUUUUUCUUUUUUGCUGGCAAUCGAUUCCUCCACCUGAGGUUAUGUAUAGUAAACUGGUAAUUAACCGUCCGGAUGGUUCUGAUCAGGAGCUGCGAUUGGACUCGAGGCUCCACGAUCUGUCCCAUGCAUGCAACGUCACGUCUCCUGACUCCUGUGUCCGUUUUCCCUGCCCUAAGUCGGCCUGAACUACUUGCUCGUCUAGGUCUUUUAUUUAGCCAUCAGGAGCUAUAAUUUUUUUUCUAGAAGGAACACAAUAAUGCCGUUGAGAUUGACAAAAUCAUCACACGCCCCGCGGAAACAUAUUUGUCUACUAAACGAACAUUGAAAAGGCUGAUUUUUUUUCAAAAAAAUACGAUCACUAGCACCAAGUCCAGUACUUGAACCCUCGUGUGAUAAUUCCACCACAAGGAAGAGGUAUACUUAGGAGCUGUUCGGGAAGCCUCCAGCUCCGCCAGAUUCAAAGAUCCACAGAGUGCCUAUUUCCCAGCUCCGUAAAUUUAAACUGCGGCUCCGACUGCUCCGGGAGCGGAGUUACGGAGCGGGAGGGACUCCGAACAGGCCCUUAGUCUUUCUAUAUCUAACUUGCGCUAAGACUUCACUUUGGUCAAUAUACCUCACUUGUCGUCGACUGUGGGUACGUAGCACGCCAACGUGGCAGCACGCCAACAUGCUGGGGGAGGGGGGAUCCUACGCCUGUGGAAACGAUUGUGCAGGAAACCCCUUGUUUUCCUCAAGAUUAUAAAAAAUCAUAAAUGAUCUAAUCGGCUAGUGACAUGUGCAUAUUUGUGUAUAGGUCCGUGGAACUUUGGCAUACCCGUUCCAAUGCCCACACCUUCACCAACCUUUCUUGCGCUCUCCCAAUUGUUCAGUGAGAAUGGAGGUGGGGCUGGAAGAUGACAAUCUUCAUCGCGGAAUAAGGACGAACCUCCACAUCGACGGCCCGGCAAAGAAGCCCCCGAGAAAGAUGAGUCUUCGCAUCCAAUCUCUCGUUCUCUUUUGGGGAGUCUGAUCAACCCGAUAGGAUUUGUUAUCUAUGUUGAUUUCGUCCUCUCAUGAUGGUAGGUGGCAUACAUAAUGUGUCUCUUGCUUGGCAUUGACCCCCUCCUGAUUCAUGCUACGGUUUUAGUUGGGGUAUUGUAUGCAUGUGGUACAUUUGGUCAUAGUUGUUGUCUAGCACUUGGCCCAUUUGGUCAUAUAGAGGGCAUGGAAGUAGCUAAUAUCUGUAGUGACAUGAAACAUUGAAUUGAAAUGCUGAGGAUAGUACAUGACAGAGCACUUUGGCUUCCAAUUUUAAUAUAACUAAAAUUUCUAGCAGUGUGUCAACUAAAUCUGAACACUACUACAUUGCCGUAACCGGAUAUUUGGACAUUGCCGUAAGUGAAUUUGUUUACUCUUCUCUAACUGAAUUUACUGGAUUUUUUUUCUAUCCAUAUGUACACGGUUUAUAGAUGUUAACCAGAUUUCUUCAAUGCAGGAUUUUUGGAUGGUCACAUGAGUCUGAGGUUUGCCACAAAGUUCUUUGUGUGGAACUAGGAGUAACAUGGCAUAUAUAUAUGGGCUAUGAAGUAGAUUGGUUUGACAAAUAAAAGAGUGACACGUGCUCAAUUUUAUGGAUUUAUGACUUAGAUAUGUACACGUGCAUGUGCAAUUGUACUAAGCAAAGGUGUCAAAGAUGUAGCUAUAAUAUACGUAUAUGGGCAGUCAGAUGGAUGAAUACAUAAUAAUAAACUAAGUUAUGGGAGUCGAAAUCCAUUAAGGCCUUAUUCGGUUUGAAGGAAACCAAAGCGUAGGAUAUAGGAAUAGUAUACAGGAAGUUGAUAGGAUGACACUUGCCAUCCUACGGAAUUGACUUGCCUCGUUCCUAUGCAUAAAAUAAACUUUGAGUGGAUGUGUAUAUUCCUUCAAAAACAUAGAAAAUAAAUAGUAUUUCUACGAAAUUUCCGUGUGCAUUUCCUACAAACCGAAUGCAUCUGUAGAAAUGUUCCUGUCCCUUUUUUGAAAAAUUCAUUCAAACCGAAUGAGGCCUAAAGUGGGUGUAUAGUGGUGCGGAUUGAUUUUUUGUUAGGAAGGUUAGUUGGCAAUUUUGAUCUAUGAUUUGUAAACAGUUCAAAAAGAAGUUCAACUUCAUGGGCCUUGAAUUGCAAGAUGAGACUUGCCUAUAUCUCAUCACUGGUGCCAUUGCUUUCCUUUUCCUUGUAAACGAACACUCACUACAUUUAACAACAUACUCCCUCCGUUCCUAAAUAAUUGUCUUUCUAGAGAUUUCAACAAGUGACUACAUACGAAGCAAAAUGAGUGAAUCUACGCUCUAAAAUAUGUCUACAUACAUCCAUAUGUUGUAGUCCAUUUGAGAUGGCUAGAAAGACAAUUAUUUGGGAACGGAGGGAGUAGAAGUUUAAAUUCAUAUCCCAUCUCUAUACAACUAUUUCAACAAGGGGCAGAACGAUGGCGGAAGGUGGCGGAGGGUGGUGCAGCGGCCGACGUCCUGCAGGUGCUGGAGCCUGGAAGCGGACAAAGAAAGAACGGUUGAAGGUUACAGAAAGCACGGUAGCCGAUUUUGAUCCAACGGUCCACGAAUUCGGCUGAUGUAAAAAACGUUUUCAGGCACCCGAUGAAAAAAUAGGUGCUGCAAUUAUUCAGCAAAAACCGAGCUCAGAGAAAUACAUUAUACUUGCUUAAUUACAAAAAUGUGCCUCAAUAUAACCUGAGCUGCAACAAAAACUGUGGGGUAAAAACGAGACUCUACUUCUAGGCUUCUUGUUACACCAUAUCCUCUGCGGCGUUGUCCUUCCGUGCCACGGCGCCGGCGGCUAUCGUCGCCCGGCAGAGCGGACAGGUGUUGUGCGUGGUGUGCAGCCACGUCGCGACGCAGCCCCUGUGGAAAACGUGGCCGCAUCCCGGCAGGACGCUGCACCGCUCGCCACCCUCGUACUGCGCCAGGCAGAUCACGCACGAGCUCGGGCUCCUGCGCAACUCCUUCCCCUCCUCCGACGGAGAGCCGCCGUCUCGAUCGGGCAUCUGCUUGUAUGCAACGUCGGGUAUGCUCUCCAGCAGCCGCUCGAUGGACAGCCACUUGCAGUGCUGCCGCACGUGACGGACCACCUCGGCGAUCGCCACGACGAGCGCCACGGCGGCGCUGAGCGCAGCGAUGACGGCGAAGAUCAACAAAAGCACCCAUAUGAUCCAAUCUAACAUGUCAUCGUAGUCCAUGGUGAUGGCCGGCGGUCGUGGCGGUGGGGACGUACGGGCGACGGCUGCAGUGAACGAUAUCCUUAGAUGGCGUGCGCCUGUGCGGGCGAGGUAGGUUAUGUAGGCCAUAGAAUCAGGAAAGGAGUUGGAGAUGGAUCCAACCUAUGCAAGUUCAAUGCCUGGAUCGUAUCCCACUCCGACUCCGAGUAUCCCUUCCCAAAUAUCUAUACUGACGUGGAGACGCAGGUUAGUUAGCUAACAUUAAUCCUACUGGAUUAAUCCUGACCUGGAGUAUUUAACAAGUCAGGAGCGAUUUAGUAAUAGUCGUCGCCGGCGCGCACCAAACUGAACCAGCGAACGGCAGCACUAACCCUAACCGAGCAUCGGAUCGUUCAUAGCAGCCAUGGCCGAGUACCUUCUGCUGCCACGCGCGCGCCUACUCAAAUCUUCCCUCGGCCGGAUCAUUGAAAUUUGAUGAAUUUUUUUAAAAAUAGAUGUUUUUUUAAUUUGAUGAACUUUUUCCCAAUUGAUGAACUUUUUUCUAAAGGUUGAUGAUUUGUUUUUCAAAUUUGGUGAACCUUUUUCAUAUUCAAUGAACUUUUUUCAAAUCAAUGAACUUUUUCUCAAAAUCAUUGAUUUUCUGUUUCAAAUUUGAUGAACUUUGUCUCCAAAUUAUUCAUUUUGUUUCAAAUUUGAUGAACUACUUUCGAAAUUUAUGAGCUUUCUUUCAAAUUCGAUUAACUUUUUUUCAAAGUCAAUGAACUUCUUUUCAAAUUGUUGAACUUUUUUCGAAAGUCGAUGAACUUUAUUCAAAUUCUUGAACUUUUUUUUCUACUUCGAUGAACUUUUUUUUCAAAUUCGAUGAACUUUAUUUUGGAAUUGUUGAAUUUUUUUUCUAACUUGGUGAAUUUUUUUUUUCAAAAUUGUUGAACCUUUUCAAAUUCAAUGAACAUUUCUAAAAUUGAAUGAAUAAUUUUUCACAUUCAAUGAAUUAUUUUCAAAUUCACAAACUUUUUCCAUUUUUUGCAAAUUCAAUUGGUACAAAUCUUUUCCGGAAUAUUCAUUUCUUUCAGUUCGUGGUAUUGUGAAUACUUUUAAAAUUUAUGUUUUCUUUAUUAAAAUAAUUUAUAGCUGAUAUAUAAUACUUCUACAUAUUUAAUGUCUGUAUUAAAGUUAGGUUCAAAUAGAGUUGUUUCCUCUUAUAAACAAUGAAGUGAGCUUAUCCUAGUGGAUGGCGUGCGUCGCAUGCAUAUUGGCGUCCAGAGUUCUUUUCCUGAUCUUGCCGAAAGUAUCUGGAAUUUUUUGCCUACGCGUUUUGCUUCAGCAGCUUGAUGGGCCGGCCUGCUCCUCGUCGCGCGAACCGGCGCCUACAGCGCUGAGUAGGAGGUCCAACCUUAUAUGUACUCAAAGAGGAGCAGGUGGAGCGUAAAUGGGCUGCAGAUUCUACGGCCCAUUUUGCGUGCGCUAUUGUUUUAAGAUAUUUGUAAAACGUAAGUAAUAAACUUAUCUUCAAAUAUUUGUGUGUUAGAAAUAUUAUAGAUAGAUACGAUGAUUAGUCUACACUACUACUCCCUCCGUCCGGAAAUACUUGUCGGAGAAAUCGAUGUAUCUAAACGUAUUUUAGUUUUAGAUACAUCCAUUUUUAUCUAUUUCUCCGACAUGUAUUUCUGGACGGAGGGAGUAUUAAACAAGACAACAUCAUCAAGGCGAACGAAAACUCUGGCAUUUUCACGCCCGCACGAUAACAAUCGACGUCCUUUUCUAGAAAAAUAACCCACGUCCAAUUUAUCUACACUACUACUCCCUCCGUCCCAUAAUGUAAGACGUUUUUUGAUACCACGUUAGUGUCAAAAAACGUCUUACAUUAUAUGACGAAGGGAGUAUUAAACAAAAGAACAUCAUCAAGGCGAACGAAAACUCUGGCGUUCCCACGCCCGCACGACCCACGUCCUUUUCUAAAAAAAAGCCCACGUCCAAUUUACACGGAGACUGCCGCACCCGCAUUUGUUCGGCGACGGGAAAAAGGGCACAGUAUAUACACGGGAAACAAACCCGACCACUCUGCACGAGCGAGGGGCGGCUUCGUGGCACGACCGGUCGCCUGCGUUGCGCCGGUCAUGGGCAGCGGCAGGGCCAGCCGAUGGCUGCGGGUCAAGCCGACCGCGGUAGCGGCUUAUCUUUGGGAGAGGAGGAGAGGGGAGAAAAAGGAGAGGCCUGGCGGCGACUGAGGAGGUGCUACGCGCCGCCACCUCCACCUCGACGCGCCGCCAGAUCUCCACCUCGACGCGCCACCGGUCAUCUGCAUCCACGCGCCACCGGAAACUCCGCCUUGAACUUCGGUUUUUGUGGUAUGGAUCCCUUCCCCUCUCCACCAAAUCUUGCUAUGGGCCUUGCCUGCCGUCUCUCAAGCAACGCGUAGCAUUGCCCUGCUGGGCAUGUGGUGCUCACAUGCUCCUCUGUCGCACGGCUCCAUCCUCAUCCCGUCGCCUCUCCGACCCAAUCGCAGGUGUUUCCCUCCAGUUUGUCAUGAACCACAGAAGGACGCACAGGAGCAGCAUCUGGCAUUCAGAGCCUGACAGGUUUCAUGGUUGCACACAAGCGAUGGGUCAAAGGAGCCUGCGAAAUAUGUAACUAAGUGUUGUUUCUUUCUGCCAAAUCAUUUAUUCUUAAUUUCCUCAUUUCAUAUUCUCAUAAAUCAUCCUCUGAUGUUGAUUGCAAAUAGAAACAUGUUUUACAGUCUUUUAGAUUUCGGUCAUCAGAGGGAAUUUGGAUUCCUUCUCUAUCACCACACAUAGAAAUGUAUGUCAGUGCUAAUUAAAAAUGUGUAGGAAAUUGAGUUUUCUUUUAUCUGUACUGCAUUAUCAGUCUACGGCAGGGCGUCAUGGAGAAGCCAAGUUUAACCGAGAUUUCAAAAUUUUGUGGCCUUCGUUAAAUUAAAAAAAAGGUGAUUCUAUUUCUUGAAGCUCCCGACUGCUCAUGUACUAUUUCACAUUGCCAUCUUCCAUUACAAUUUCGUUCACGGUAACAUUGAGAAUCCUACAACAUUAGUGGUGUGAGAUAUUUUGUAAGUGUUAUAGUGAUGUGCAUUUUUGUAGGUUUGUAGUUUUGUGACUCCAUUUGGUUUUAUAAGUGUGAUUCACCAAUACAAUUCGAAUGUGAAUUGCUUGCAGUUUUGUAUAAGACUAUUUGGUUUGUCCUGCUAACUCCGCCACACCUCAGUUUUGGUCCUAGGUAAGCCGCUGCGUGUAUGACGGCCUAAGAUGCCAUGGCCGGCGUGGUGUGAUGGUGGUUUACAGCGGAUCAAGAUUGUUGGCAAGGACUUCCCACUGAGUAUGAGAGGCCGGUGACCAUCCGUCCAUGAUUCUUCCUCGGUAUGCCACUCUGAGGAUGUCGAGGCCUUCCCAAUGAGUAUUUCAGUUCCCGAAGUCUCUCUUUCUGAUGGCAAGGUAAAGUUUAGUUCGUUGGUGACCAUGUUCAUUAAAUAUUCUUGUCAGAGUCCUCGAUUCCAAGCUUACAUUAUAAUGCAUUUUAGCCCAGAGAUACGAUUUUCACCAUGUGUCUGUUGUAGCCAAGGCCAUACAUCGCCUCCUACCGUGAGUAAAUUUGAAACCCCAUAUCCAUAAAAUGUUGUACUCACUUGGCAAUCCCAGAUCUGUUCUGGACUCUUGGUAUUCAGUCUAAAUUAUAAGCAGGCAUGAUGCUCAAUAUUGUAGCAAUGAACAUCAGGGCGCGUACUAAGUUCCAACUAAGAAAGUUCAGUUUGGCUAUUUGCCUUUUUUUACAUAGAUUAGAAUGAGUAGCUGCAAAAGAGUUCUGUCAUUUUGAGUUUUUGUGUAAGAGAAGGUACCAUCAACAAUCACGCAUAAUAUAAUAUGGAUAGCUUCAAACAUGUAGCUAUCCCAUGGGCUUGAGUUAUAUUACCGAAGCGGGGAUCUGUAUGUAUAAGUGUAAAGAUGUCCUAUAGUCAUUUUUUUGUAUGAUUUUCUAAGUGUUGCCUUUGUUGUCUUUACCUAAUGAUAACCCGCUAGCAAAUAGGUUGUCAGAAUCGCGAUUCUGUUAUACGAUUCUACGACUUUACGAUCCAAACUAACCCCUAUGAUUCUACGAUUUUAGUUCUUAGAAUCUACGUUUCUACGAUCCUGCUAGUGAAGAUUCUACGAUUUGCGAUCCUACCAUCGAAGCUCCGAUCCGAUUCAAGAUCGCGAUUCUGACAACCUUAGAAGUAAAUAAUUUGUUCCUUAUCUUAGCACCUAAUUUGCCUGCAUUAUGUUGUUAAUAGUAGCAUUUUUUGUUCAAAUUUUCAUCCUGUUGCGAAUCUGCAUGCCUUGUUUCUAAUUAUUUAAGUUCAGACUGUCCCUUCAAACGCCAUGAGUCAAGUCUAGGAUAUGUCAGCAUGAUGCUUCCACUCCCAACAUGAGACCAGAUUCUUUUAAUUUCGGGUAGGAAACUAUCAUGGUUAUUAUUUUACUCUCUGGAUGUUGCACAAAUGCUUGAACAAUUUCCUUGUAGAUUUCAGUGUAGUGGUUGCAAAAGUGUUGAUGGAAAUGGCUUAUUGAGUUGCCAAUUUUUAAUUGCAGGGACUGGUGAAGCACAAACAUGCGACAUGGCUUGGAGUAGACACCAACUCCAUGGUUCCAUUCUGCAAGAUGUGGCUUGGAUUACCGUGCUGCUGAGAACAGUGGCUGCGCUUGGUUUUGAAAUUGGGAAGGUUUAAUUCAAGAUUUUUAUAUCUUCCCCCUGUUUUUGUAUGGACAAUGUGUGUGCUGUUUAUAAAAUGUUUAGUUAUGUUUGGCUGAUGAGUAUAAACUCUUUUCUCUGCAUGUUUACCAUGAAUGAUGAAACACACAUCAGUUGGCUCACUUGAGUUCCUGUGCUAACUGAUAAUCCAUGCAGUCUCUUAUUCUGUAUGCUAUACAAGUUUGUUUUAGCGUCAUAUUGACUAGCAUUUAGAUAAUGUCAAACCAUGUCAAAUGAUGGGGUUGUGUGAAGCGGAGGUUACUUCUAUUUUAUCACGUCGCAUGUGAAGCUUAUGCAAGGACAUGCCAUUUUAGGUACUUUGCAUGAGAAUGCAAGAGCUCUGCUUUUG
rnacentral:lncRNA from 1 species